rnacentral:lncRNA from 1 species
GAUAGCAUCACUAUCCUACACUCGUUAAGAAACUGACUGCCACUACUAUAACUCAAUUUUCACAUUCAAAGAGUAGCCAUAUCUUUUGCAGCUAUUUCUGUGUUUUUUAGAACUCGUGAUAUUUCAGAAAGCAGUGCAGACAAUUGAAUAGACAGAUACCAAUCUUAACUUAUUGGGUGUGAUUUAUCUCAAAAAAAAAUUGUCGAUGUAAUAAAUAUUUCAAUUGAUCUUUCGAGUAAUAAACCCUUCCAAAUUCAGCUGCAGGAAUCAAGAUCAGAAUCGAAACAUUAAAGGUCACUUUACAACUACUAACUAUCCAGAUUUCAACAGAUCCGGGGAUCACCCCACCACAUCAAUGAACACUCGCACUCAUACCAUACAUUUCAGCUAUUCACAAGCAAAACCCAGUUAACUACACACAAGAACAUAAGUAUACCUCUGUCAUGAUUAGUAUCUACCUCAGUCAAUCAAAUUGUCCACAACAUUACUCCGCAAAGAGCUCAUUCACGCAAACCACCUAAUCUUCCUUUAUACUGUAAAAUCACUAAUCAUUAACGUAAAAAAAACCUCUCACCCUAAACUCCAUUUUCCAAUCCUUGAAAGCAUUAUAUCACCAAAAACCCCUUAACCAACUACAAUUUCCAAACACAAAAACAGUUUAUAACAUCACUACUCCAUACACUUCAAUAUCCCAAAUUUUCACUAUUGUAACUCAACUUUCACAAUACAAACAAAUUCACAUAAUAACCCUAUUCCUCCUAGCAAUAAAAAAUAAAAUAAAAAAUAAAAGACAGGAACAAGACAUAAUAAAUUAAGGUGAAAUAACUACAUUAACACCUAUAAUCACCAAAAUAAACCGCAUUAACCCCAAAAAACAAAUUUUAGCAAAAACCCACAUCACAAAACCACUAAAAAACAUCAAAAAAAAAUUAACAAAAAAAGAAAUUAUGCAAGAGAAAGGGAUUGUUUAAAAUAUAACCUCAAAUCCAAGAGAGGAUUUAAUGAGUCUUUGAACAUAACCAAUAAUUUGUUUCCUCUUGAAAUUGGAUUCUACUGUUGGGUGUAUUCUAUAAACAAUCUCUCUCGUAAAUUCCUCUGCUCUCUCCCAAUUCUCUUCCACAAUUGACCAAGGAUCCGGAUUCGAAGAAAAAGAAGGAGAAACCGGGUCUUGACCCGAACCCAGAAGACCAUGGUGAUGAUCAUGAUCAUUUUGGUGAUGAUGGUGGUCGUGAAAAUGGCCGUUUUCAGUCGGAAAGUCACAAACUUGAAGAUCACCCAUUAUUUAAAACUGAAAUUCUAACAAAACCCACAGAUUUAUUUCUUGAAAGAAGAGAUUUUCUUCUUGCUUGACAGGAUCAUAUCAUUUGCUGCCGUUUUUUUCUUUUGCUUUCUUUUUUUCCUUCUAGUUUAGUAAGAGAGAGAAAAAAAGGUUUCUUUUUCGAGGAUUGAAAUUGAAUUGUUAUUACUAUUAUUAUUAACACAGAGAAGAUGAGGAAAGAACAAUUUUAAGAACCCAGAAACCGAAAAAAGAGAGAAAAAACAAAGGAAGAGAAAGGAUUCUUUUCUUAAUAUCUUUGGGUUUUCUUUGGAAUUUUUUGUUUUUUUUUUAUACGAUGUUUGUGUGGGGGUUUGAUUUAUUGAUUCACAGGUCGUUUGUUUGCAUGUCAGUCUGAUGAGAUGCGACGGAAAGGAAGUGAAGAAAAAGUAAAGAAGGAGAAAUAUUAUUAUUAUUAUUAUUAUGAUAAGAGUGAUAUACGGCCAGUUGAAUCGAUUUAGAACCGGGCUGAUCUGGAUUCUGGAUUAGAAAGAAGAAUUGAUUUGGUUUGGCCUUAUUAAAAAUCCGAUGAAAACUUAUUUAGAUCCGAUUAAUAACUUGCUGGCUGUUUUUUUAAAAAACAUAUUAAAUUAAUUAUUUUAAUUUAUUUUUAAAUAAUUAAGUUAAUUCUCUUCCGCAUGAGUUAAUUUUAAUUUAGGUUUAUCAUAUAACGGGUUUAAUAAUUAUGAGAUUAUAUAAGAAUAAAGAUUUGUUAUGUUUCGUUUACAUUUACUCCAAGCAGUUUUUGUUUGUUUGUUUGUUGAUUUUUUAUGUAAAAAAUAUUAAUUUAAAAUAGUUAUUUUCAAUAAAAUAAAAUAUUUUAUUUGGUUCUUUCUUUCCCUCAAUUUAUACCGUUAAAAAAAAAAAUUCAGAUUCAUAUAAUCUAAAUUCCAUAGUUUUAUUUGGUUCUUUCCCUCAAUUUGUAUUUUUUAUUUUAUUUAUGUUGGCCUUGAUAAAAUAAGACGUCGGUGGCAUAACCGAAAGUUAAUUUCUAGAAUUGAAACUCAUAAAUUAAAUUAAAGUUUCUAUUAUGGAUAACCGAAAGAGGAAGUUCAAUGUAUUUAAUGAAGGAUUCCUAAAUUGAAAUGACUUAAUGAAAUGCUACUCAAAAUCUCAAUAAUUACUAUAUAUUAAUUUUAAUUCUCGAAUCCAUUUUCAUUAUGUUAAAUUUGAUUUUCAUCUUUAUUAUCUUUAUUUGGAUUUUAUAAAAUCACAAUAAUAAUAAUAAUAAUGAUAUACUAUUAUUACCAUAAAUAAAAUUACAUUUUUCCCUAUAAAAAACAUAUCCUAUUAAUUAAUCAUAUGGCCGUACAUGGUAAUUAUAAUAUUUAUUCGUUGAUCUAAAUCAACAAUGAGCUUAAUGUGUCAUCAUAACGUUAAUUAAUGACAGUUUAAUGAGUCAUAAAAUCAUAGGAUUAGCUUGGCCGUGGCAUCUUGCAUGCAUGCAAGUUGUCAUCUCUGUAGCCAGCCCCGACUGAUCGACAUUCUUAGCGAUUAGACUUGCUCUCUCUUCCUUUUUUUAACAUCAAGUACAUUAAUUAGAGCACUCUACUCUGUAUCUAGCAAUUUUAUUUAUUUAUUUAUUUAUUUAAAAAAAGAGGAAUUCAAAUUAAAAUAAUAAUAAUAAUAAUAAAAAGCAGGGGAUCCAAAAGAAGUCUCAUGCCCAUAGGAUAUUUGACACGGCAAAUGGUUACUUGCACUCUUCAUUAGGGAUUGAUUACCUUUUGGAUAUGGACAUCACAAAAGUCAAUUCCUUUGAAUAUCCAGACAACUUUACGCUCACAACUCUCUAAUUUUGACAGAAUCCAAAGAGAUAAUUAAUUAAUUAAUUACUCCAUCAAAUUAUUAUUGUCGACUGCCAUAUUUGAGGGCAAACCCCAAGUAACGUAUCACAGUUUGUAAUCUUCACCUUUGCCUGCCUAAACUUGCUGUCCAUCCAAGAAAAACACGGUGGCUACUACGUGUUUUUAUAUAUAUAUAUAUAAUUAUAAAUAUUCAGAUCUGCUUAUAUAUAUAAAUACAAGUAACUCUAAAGAGUUUAACUUAACUGGUCAGAUUUUAAAUUUAAUUUUUAAAAAUCAUCAGUUCGAGUUUUAUAAAUCUCAAAAUCACUAUAAAUUUAUAUGAUUAUUAAUUUCAAAAAUCGUCAAAUUAGUUGAGAAGAGUGAAAAAUGUUAUAUACAUCUAUAUUAAUAAUAAUAAUAAAAAAAAAACAAAAACAAAAAUCAAUGGUGGUCCCAAUCCAUGGUUUAUGUCUCUGCUGGGUCUCCUCUUGGCUAUGUGUGAACAUCUAGCAUGCUCCUUUACCUAAAGUUGUACUUCUUGAUAGGCUGAUUAUCUUCUGCCUCCUAGCCAUGAGGUUUCUUCUCCAUCGACUCUUGACUUUCAAUCAUCUUAUCAACCGUCAAGUGUUGACAGAAAAAGAAUGUAGAGCAUGUUAUAGUCUAGUCCUUGUGCUUUCAAGACUUUGAUAAGAUAGUCUCUCUUGUUCAAAAAUUCCAUAUUUAAUCCUUUUAUUUCAUGGAUCAAUUGGCGUCUUAAACGUGGGAUUUUCCAUAGAUUUGUCAUGUUUAUAAUGAAAUCGAUAUGAUUAGCUUGAAUAUCAACCAUUAAUUAGCUUGUUUAGUUAAGUUAACUGAAGGCUAGAUUUUUUAAAAAUGAUAUAUGAUUGAUAUUUUUUUUUUCUAUGAAAAACUCUAGACCAUUGAUUUUUAACUACUGGUUUGGAUUUCACAAAUGUAUCAUGUUACUGGCGGAGUGGUAUUAUCCUUGUAGAUCUAUCCGAGAUUGUUGAUGGAGGAUAAACUUUAAUUUCAUAAAUUAUUUUAAAUAAAAUAAAUAAUAGUUAGUAGAAUAGUGAUCAAAUUUGAGAGAUAAAAAAAUACAAAGAUGAUAAAAUUGAAAGAACUUCAAUUUCAUAAAUUAUUUAAAAUAAAAUAAAUAAAAAUUAAAAGAAUUGGGAUCAAAUUUGAUAGAUAAAGAAUUUUAAUUAAGAAAAGAUAAGAUAAAAACAAAAUUAACAAAUAAUGAUAAAUGAAUAAGGACCAAAAUUAGAAUAAAAAUUAAAUUAAAUUAAAUUCUAAAAAAAACAAAUAAAAAAUUAUAACAAUAAUAAGAUUGAAGAUCAAAUUUGAUAUAAUUAAUAAAUAACAAGAUAUUUUUAAAUUUUUCACAACUUUCUAGAAAAUAUUUUCACUUAAAAUAAAAUAAAAAUAUUUUUUAAAAUACAAUAUCAGUUUUUUUUAGUAAAAAAUAUUUUUGAUCGUUCAACUUUUUUUUAGUAUUAAACAAAUACAAAAAAAAUAAAUAAAAAGCAGCCUAACAAUUCCCACCAGAAUAGCCUAAGCUACUAAUAUAUAUAUAUAUAUAGGCAGACAGUGGGCUCUGACCUACUGGCUUCUGGCCCCUUGGUAGAAUUGGGUGCCUAGAUAUGGGACCUUCGACAUUCAGCGACACCCAACAAUACAUUAAUUAUAAUGGAAAAAGCCACUCCCUCGAAUUGUUGAUGACUUGUGCUUAUUUUCUUUCUUCCUCUGUUUUACUUUUCCCCUCUCUGACAAUUAGGUUUUGGGGGUUUGUUGCAAGGUUUGAUGAAUCUAGACUCGUUUUAAGAGGUGCAAUUACCGAUUAAUUCACAUUCAGACUGAUAUAGUGUAUCUUAGACCAUGUCAAGGUUCUUAUGAUAAUAUCAAUGCCAAAGCUCUUAAUUAAUGUUCACCAAAACUAGAAAUAUUAAUGAAGCUGUCAAGAAGAGCAACAUUGGCCAAGAAGUGUGAUGAGCCAUUCACCAUGGCAUGCAUGCAUCGACCAUUCUUAGUUUCUUGCAACAUUCCUUUGAAAAUUGGGUUCAGAAGCAAUUCAUUGAUCUCUAAGCAUUAAUGAAGGUAGAAAGUUUCAGAAGCACUAGAAGAGCUGACUUACUGGCAACUUGGAGAGCAAGAUAUGUAUUUGUUCUUCUUCACCGACGAAUAGGAAUACAGCCCGAGAACAAAUAGUAAAAGUUUUGCAGUCUGCUGUAACAAAAGUAUACAUUUAAGAAAUCAAAUCCUAGUAUCAUACCAUUGCCCAUGAGCGAUUCAUACAAAACUAAGCCAAAACUGCUAUAUUAAUGACAUGUUUGUUCAACUCUUUUAUCUGAUAUAAUAGAUGCAACGAUCUCAGAAUACCACAACUCCAGCUAUGUGAUACACCCUUGCCAGCAACAUCUUCAUUGCUGAGACAGUUUGUUUCCAGAUUUUGAUCUAGAGUAAAUGAAUUUAUAAAAAUGAGAAUGUUUAUGCAUCCAAGUCCUUGUUUGAGUUCCACAAGGGGACUACGUUUGGUACGCCACCAUCAGCUAAGAUCCCAGUUCCAUUUUCUGCGCUGAUUAAAGGAUCAGUUUCACUUUCCUUGACCUAAAACCCAUUCAAAAUAUGAGAGCAUAAGAUGUCUGAAAAGGCUUACAGGCACUAACUAACUUUGCACUCAUAACAUGAAAGAGAGGUAAGAGAAUUACCUCAGGCAAUUUUGCUGGUGCUUCAUUUUGCUUCUGCUGAUUCUCAAGGGUGCAACAGUAAGAAUACAGUACCAUUCCAACCACUGCAAUGAGGAUUCCCAAAAUGUUGCGCCAGCUAAAUGGAUCACGAAGGAGAACAUAGCCAAAUGCCAAAACUAGGCAUGUUUUCAGAUGUCCUAGGACUUGAUAGGUGACCGGAGAUGUCUUUCCAAUCACCAGAAAAGUACUGAAGUUCACAGAGACAGAGAUCAGGCAGGAUAGAACAAUGAAGAACUGCAACCACAUAAUGCACAGAAAAUGGUCAGAAGCAAGAAAACAAAGAAAAUGCCAGGAAAGAGGUUAAAGUAUUCCUCAAUUCUCACCAGCACUAGAGGGGUGUAUUUGAAAGCAAGAACGUUUUUGUUAGUCAGCAGCCCAUCCAGGAAUGGGCCAACAAUGAACAAGGUUAAUGCCUGAUAGGGGCAAGACUGGUACAGAAGUUGUGUUGAAGAGACUCUGAACUUCUUCUGGAUGGUAUUGGUCAUCUGAAAUGCACUGGUUAAGAUUUUAACAAAACAACAAAAAUAAAAAACAAAAGACACAGACUUCCCUAAGAAUGAAGGGAUGGUAGCCACACAGUACAGCGCUUAUUAUAUAUUUCCUUUGCUUUUGCUUACCAUUGAAACGACUAAAUAAGGUAUCUUAAAGUAGAAAAAAAGAAAUCAAAUAGCAAUUAGCAAAGGAACUUCAGCUAAGGAUACAAUCUGAGCAACACAGGUUGUAAGGACUGCAAGCAGAGACAAGAUAGAUCCCAGGACAUUGAGCUGAAGAUCAGUCACAGUUGCAAUUCCAACACCCAUAAGAAGAAUGGUCAGUGAAAGCUGGAUACUCCGACUGCAGUAUCACAAGUACAGCAGGCAAGAGUAACCACAUAUACAACUUAAGCAAGUGCAUCAAAAAUUAAAUUGUUGUCACAUAACUUAUGAAAACAACAUUAGUUACAUUAGUGGCAGGCCUAAAAAUUUCUCAAUAAACAAUAUACUCAAUAAUUCAGACUUACCUGAAUUGCUUACGGAAGAAAAGCGUCUCCAAAAGAACAGUACAUGGGAUGAUAGCCAAUUUUGUCAUCUAAAAAAUGGGAAAAGAAAGUAAAUAAAUUUGCAUAAGCUAUUGCUCCAAAAUGGUUUAUAAGGGAAAAGAAAACCUAGCAUCAAGGAUUAAAGUGGACAGGACAAUAGUUAACAUAUGACAGAAAAAAAGGUCAACCAAAGGACUUUCACUAAAUAUGAUAUUACUAGAUGUCAACAAAUCAAGAUGCUGCAAAGGGAAACCCAACCUAUCCACAGUCAAUUCAUACUUUACAAGGAAGAGUUUAAUAAACAACAACCUGGUCUCAUUUAAAUCACAGGAAAGUAUUAAGCACUUUUUGUUUUUACUGUUUACCACCCCCCCUGAAACACAAAAGCACUUAAAAUGACUUUCUAGUCUACUGCAUCGAGGCGCUACUGUCAAAGAAUGAUAGAGUAUGUAAAUCAAAUUCCAUGGCCACUGAUCAUACAUAAUAGCAUACUGGUUGGGAAGAAAAAUGCAUACCAGAUCAUAAGUCUGGCACAGAGAGGACAGCAUACCUGAUAAAAACCAACUGAGUUGAAACCCAAGCUAAGAUUCAAAAGUCCAAUGGAUAUCCCAUUUAGUAUGCCAAAUCCCAUUACCGCUCUUGCAUCAAAAGGCUUGUGUUCAAACAAUUUCAUCCAUAAUGCCAUGUGAAGAGAACAAAACGUGACCAGAAGAUGCCAGCUUGUCAAUGUUGUGGCUGCAUUUGCCAAAAAAUAAGUUAGUAUAAAUGAUGGCGAAAAUUAGAAAAAAUAAAAUGCUGAGCAACAAAAAUAUUGAUGAUAAUUCAAAUCAAGCACAUCUAAAGAAAAAUGACCGCAUACAGAGUUUCCACCCAUUUACUAUCAUCAUCAAAAACUGCCAGUGAUUAUAUGCCAUAUGCUUGCAUCCGAGUAUAAGGGAAAGAAGCAAGGCAAGAAUAUAUGAAAUCAUCAUUUCAUUGCAUCAUAUUGCAGUUGGAACACAUCAGAUACUACAGUCACCAAAUGAAAUCCCACACUAUAAAACAUCAAUUGAUGAUCAGUAACUAAUAAGAUUGACUUCUUAUGCGCUAUGUGUCCAUGAUCAAUUGAUUGUAAAACCUUACAAAGAUGCAUUGGAAACAAUACAACGUGACAAAUCAUAAACAGUUUUUUAAAUUUACACUAAAUGAUGAAGACCAUGCGGUCUUAAGCUUUUACUUACAAAAAACACCAUUUUUAUCCGUUCCAUAAUUUCUGAAAAAUGAGCAUAUGGUCUCCUAUUCCAUCAUUCAUGACCUCACACAAUUACCAUCCAUGCAUAAUCAUAAAACUUGUCCUUUUAAAAUGAAUUUUGGCAUCUAAUAUAACCAGCAAACUCCCCAUCCAACUAUCCACGAUCAUGUUCUAAAAAAAGACACAUUUAUAUUGAAUAAAUAUUGAAUACCGCAACAUAAAAAGUGAUUCAACAACGUAACAAUCAUAACUUCACAAAAAUCAAAUCUAAUCUAAGCAAACAAAAUACAUUAUGCUUAAAAGGAGAGGGUAUGCAAAUAUAAACACUCACCAAAAGUGAAGCCAAGAGUGCUAAUGAGAGCCUUAUUGCAAAUCACAAGAGCCUUAUUGCAAAUCACAAUAGAAACCGACGAAACCACUGAUAAACUCAAAGCCCCAACGGUCCCUAGCUGGAAUUUCUGGCAAUCACUCUAUCUCCUUGAUCCAGAUCUAUCAAAAUCCCAAAACCUCAAUACAAUCAACACAUUUGUGCAUAAAAAAGAAAACCCAUUUGUGCAUAUAAAAGAAAACCCAUUUCAGAUUUUACUUAAAAAAAACCCCUUUCAGAUUUUACACAACAAAGAAAAACCCAUGAAAGCAAUACAUUUGUAAUUCAAUACAGAAACAAAAACCCACUACCUGAUUCACCUCAUAAUUUGAUCCAAAAUUUUCAAAAUGCAAUCAAUGCAGCUGAGACUGUCAAGAAUUAACAAUGGAUUAGAACAAAAACCACAGAUCUGUUACUAAAAUUAAAGAUCAACUUAGAGAAAUAGAAACCUUUGGCAAUUCUUGAUAACUGAAAUCUAUCUAUAAAAGAAUACUAAAAGGGGUUUUUUUGUUUUUGUUUUUGCCCCUUUUUUUCUUUGCAACUCUGUUUGCUUUGAUUGAGAAUGAGAGAAAGUGAGAGAGAUUUAUUUAUAUAUAAAUGGAAGAGAAAUGGAAAUGGAGAAAAGGGAGGAGUGCUGGCGUUGAUGCUGUUGCUGUUGGUGAUGGGAAGGAAGCUUUGACUCUCUUCCGUUUUUCGGGGAUUAAAUUGUAAUUGUGUCCAAAUUAGGGGACAUCAAAUUUAUGGCUUUGUUUGGGUAGAAGGUUAGAUGCAGACAUGUUCUUUACAAGAGUCAUCAUUUUUUGUUCGAUUCGGUUCGUUUUUUAUUUAUAAAAAUAAUCAAAUUAAAUAUUUAUAAAAUACAAAAAAUAAAAUCAAAACUGAACAAAAACCGGUUCCAACCGACCGAUUUUGAUUUGGUUCGAUUAUUUUAUAUUAAAAACCAAAACCCAAUCAACCGAUUUCGGUUUGGUUUGAUUUCAGUUUGGUUCGAUUAUUUUAUAUUAAAAACUUUAUUGUUUUUUGGGUUUUUUUGAACUUUUUGAUGGGAUUGGUUUCGGUUCGGUUUUUCAGUCCAAUUCGGUUUAUUUUUAACUAAACCGGUUUGGUUCGGUUGAGAUUUUUUGGUUUCAGGCUUAUAAAACCGAACCAGAUCGAAUAUUUUUUUUAAAUAUUCUAAUCGAUUUAAUCGGUUUUUUUUCAUGGUUUGAUUUUUUUGAUUUUCUUAGUUUAAUCGAUUUGUCAUUUUUUUUACUCACCCCUAAUUCGUUUUAUUUUUAGAUAGGAUGGUAAUAGAUACUUAUAGGUCUGGUUUUGUAUUAUUCAUACCCAAACUUAAAACUAAAAUAACUACCCGAACCCGGCCCAAACAUCUAUGUGUUUUUGAUACCCAAACCCGACCCAAACAGAUGUGUAUUUUUUAUACCCGAACUUGACCCGAUAGAAUUUCGAGUAUCCAUAACCCAAACUUGAAACCCGAGCCCAAUGCUAUAUUUACAUUUAGUAUAUAAGUAACUUGGGAUAUAUGUAAUUUUUUAGAGCUUUAAAAUUAUCUAUUUAUUUCGAGUUGGUAUUUGAGUUGAUAACCAUCAUUUUCAAGUUAAAUUGUCAUCUUUACUAUCAAUCAACUUUUAUGUAAUAAUAUUUUUUUUUAUUGUGAUUAAGUCUUACAUAUAUUUAUGAUAAUUAAUUCAAACCUUGCAUGUUAUUAAACUCGAACUGCUUCAUUAUGUUAAUUUGGUGAUUUAAUCUAAAAUUUAAUUCAGUUUAAGUUUUAAAUUAGAGUUGACUCGAUUAACCCAAUAAAAAUUUAUUUUUAUUUUUUUAAAAUAAAUUAUUAAAAUAAUAUCAUUCUAAAUUAACCCGUCUAAGUUAUAACUUGAAAUUUAAAUCAAGUCAUGAGUCGGCUGGAGUUGAAUUUAAUAAAUAAGUUAUUUACUACUGAAACAAACAUGGUCUGAAAGUGAAUUACAACUUAGCUCUCAAAUGAUAAUUUCCCAAAGAAAAAAAGAAUGGUUGAUGGGGUGUCACAUUGACAUAUCAAACUCAAUCAAGCGUGGAGAUUGUUAGGUUAGACAUCGGAAGCAAUUAUUUGGUCUCAUGAGAUUUUUUAUAUUUUAACAGGAACUAAAAUAAAACAACAGGCGAGUUACUGCCAAAUUGGACUGUCAUUUGCAAUUAUAUCAUCACUACAUUCCAUAAUAAUACGAUGUAUAGUGGAUUAGUGUUUUAAGAUUAAAAAAAAUAUAAAUAUAAAUAUAAUAAAAACAUGUCUUUUGGUAUGGUUUUUGAAUAAAUUCUCUUUAUUUUUUUAAAAAAUGUUUUAUUUUUUAUCCUGCUAUCUCUGUGUUUUUUAGUCCUGAAAUAAUAAUAAUGAGAUGAUUCUAAUGCUAUGAUUUGUUAGUUGGCAUGUCAAGUAAUUAGAUCAUAAAGAACUCUCUAUUUAAAAAUUGCCAUACCUUCUCCGAUCCACAACGAAUAUACAUAUCAAAAUGUGACACCAUGUUGUGGUCAUCUCCCAUGAGAAGACCUAGCUAGGUGAUUUCUCUAAUAGCCAACUGGGGUGUUUUUCAAGAGCUUGCAGCAACUUCAACUUGCACGCAUCAAUGAAGAAGCUUGGAAGGACGAUGAAGGUGAUGGAAAUGCUCUUUUCUAGUGAAAAUCCACAAUAUAAAAUAGGUAUAGUUUGUUAGGUUAAUCGAUGAAGAAGCUUGGAAGGACGAUGAAGGUGCUUGUGUCAUGGGCUUCAAGAAACAAGAGCAGGCUUCAGAUAUUAUAUAGUUGUGAAGAUUUAAUGGUAGGAUUACAAUGCCUAAUUAUUAAAAAUAAAAGAAUAAUUAAUUCUGACACUCUCAAGGUUUGAGCAACGCAUUUCAUUACCUGAUCAAAAGACUCCCAUCGAUCUCCCCAUCCCCAUAAAAAAAAAUAAAAAAAAAAUAGAACUCUUGCAAUAGGUGGAAAAUAUAAUUUCAAACCUUGAUAACAUUUUAACAUGGAAGCUGGAUGAAUACUCACUUUGCAUUUUUCAUUCUUAUCAAUUGUGGGUUAGCAAGUACCGAAGUCCUCCUAUCCCAAUUACAGGCUUACCAUGGCAAGAGGAGGUCCAGUUAGCCUACUUAUUCCUUCGGCUCUCUGAAUUAAUUAUCUUUGGGAUAAUGUACCUAAAAAUUCAAGUAAUUUCGUAACAAAGUUUAUAUAUAUGGGAUAAUUAAUUAAUCACUUAGUUUUAACAAUUCGAUUCAUUUUCUUUAGCUCUAAGGUGGCUAAUAGCUUAUGUGGGAAGCCAAAGUGGCUGAUAGAUGAGAAACCAAGGUGACUAAUAGUUAAUGUCUAAUAAGCCAAGAUGGCUGAUAAUAUCUAGUACUUGAUAAGUCAGAUAUGACUAGUAGUACGUACUUGAUACUUGUAUAAGGUUUUUCUAUGGUGGAUAGAUGACUCUCAGAUACUUAAGUAAAUAUUUUUAUUGAAAGAGAAUGGAAAAUAAAGAAUAAAGAGUGUGAAUCUAGAGCUUGAAGAUAUCUUUGUAGAGACAGUGUAAUGAUAUUUCAAAGAAACUCUGAAAAAUAUGUAUGCAUUGAAGAAAUGAAGAUUGUAAACCUAGAACUUAAAGGAUUCAUGAAGUAUUUAUAACUCUUGAAUUUUAUCAUUUUGUGGAUAGAAGGGGCUGAAGAGUCAUUUCACCCCUAUAAAUUAACAUGGUAUUUUGAGUUGUGUUCCAUUCAAUGUAAUAUGUAUUUGAUCAAUAUAAAAUAUAUAAAAAAAUCCUAGAAAAGUUUUUAAAAAAGUGCUAAGCUCAAGUGAGUUGUCUAAGCUUGGAGUAGAAAAUAAACCCAACGCAGUGCUUGAGCCUAAUGAUCCAGAGCCUAAUAUGUAUUGGAUCAUUAGGCUCAAGUGUGUACCAAAGCCCUUAAGGGUGCUGGGCAUAUAGCAUACCUAACAAGGCUAGGCGCGUGCCCAACAUAGACAUAGGUGGCAACUUGGGCUCAUAUUUUUAUAGGAGAGUAAUUUUUUUUUGGAUAUUUGAUAGUUUUUUUUUACCCGUUAAAUUUAGAUUCAUCACUUUGCUCAUUGCAGGGGUUGAUUUUUGAAAUCCCGGGUCAAAAAUUGCCAUAAUGAGUGGCUGCUCUCACUUUUGAUUAAUGUUCAUGACUAACCGUAUGAGCUUUGCUUUUUUUUACUUAUUUGAUUAGAUUUUGCCAGAUGCAAAAUUGCAAUUAUCGUACGUCAUUGGUGAAAAUGGAUUUGUAUGAUAAGUACUCCAAAGGUUUUCAAUACACUUUGAUGGGACAAACACGAAUCCCUCCCCUGUUACUCUCUCAGGCUUUUAACGGUUUGUUUUUAGUUUGAAAUUGUAUUUACGGAAUUGAAUUUUAAAGGUUUUAAUAUGUUGAUGUAAGAAAAUUUAUUUUAAUAUAUUUUUAAGAGAAAAUCAUUUUAAAAAGCAUUAUACACUUCAAUAUCAACACAAUUACAUGGUUCAACUUGUUUUUUAAAAUGCUUUUCGUUUGAAUUAUUUUUUUUAGAUGAUUUGUGAUAAUUUUAAUAUUUUGAUAUUAAAAUAAAAAAAUAAAAAAAUUAUUUUAAUAUAUUUUUAAUUAAAAAAUACUUUUAUAAAAUGCCCAGACCAAGAUCUUAGUUCGUCAAAUCAUAGUUCAAUUCAUUGAUUUAAUAGAUCAUAUAUAUAAUAUAAAAACAUUAUUAAAAAUUAAAAAAUUAAAAAAAAUAUUAUUUUAAUAUAUUUUAAUUGAAAACCACUCUUGAUAUAUUCUAAUUAAAAAAUAUUUUUACAAAAUAUCCAGACUUUUUAGUGUUUUUUUCCCUUCUAAUUUCUAAUUACAUACUUGUAAAACUCUGUCAAGAUCUUGGAUUGUCGAAUCAUAGUUCAAUUCAUUGAUUUAGUAGGUGAAUUAUAUAUAUAAUAAAAGUACGCUAAGACUUGAAAUCUUGAAUCCUAUUCUAAGCAAUUUUUAUUUUUAUUUUUAUGUAAAAAUCAAUCUUAAUCUUUUUAUAUUUUAUCAAAAAAAUCAUUUUAAUUUAAAAAUUUAAAUAAUUAAAGAAACUCUUAUUAUCUUUUAAUAAAUUUUAAUUAAACUAUACCGGGUUUGAUUUGGUAAUAAAGCUAGUUUGAUUGAAUGGAGAAGGCAAUGUCUUGAUCCAUCCAUAUGAGUUAUUUUCGAGUGGAAAAUGAAUAUAAAUAUUUUAAUUUGAGAAAAAAAUUUAUUAGAAAAUUCAAUACUUUUUGGCCAUGUAAAACUGUAUUUAUGUAGCAAUCUCAUCUUAAUGCAUAUCGAUGCAAUUAAGACUACAACGGAAAGUGUAAAUUACUCUUGAAUGAGAUAAAUAUAUAUGUGAAAAGGCAGCCAAGCGGGUGCAUAUUUAAAUAACUUGUCAGUGUGGUAGCGGUUGCUUUUUAAAUAAUUUUUUGUGUCGAAAUACAUGCCAAUGAUUUUUUUUAAAAAAAUCAUUUUUGACAUCAGCACAUCAAAACAAUCCAAAACAUACAAACCAUAUUAAAUUUUAACAAAAAAAAAAAAUUUUAUAUUUUUUGAAAAACAUGUUCUUAAUCUAGCUACCUCAGCUUUACAUGGUCACUCUCUUCCAAACCUUCACCAAAAGCCCCCCUUUGCCUCUCAGUUUGUAUAAUAAGAAGCACUUAAAUGCCCACUAAUUAACCAAGCUUAAAUAUUAUAGUGGCAGAUGCAUUAGUUAAUGGCAGAAAGAUUAUCCUAGAAUAUAUCCUAACUUUAAUUGAAAUAAAAUGAAAAACAGAAGGAAAAUUGUAAAAUCUGUGAGCAAGAUUUACCUCCUAAAUGCUACAGGAACAAUUCCAGCACGGUAUUGAGCAAUUUGCAAGAAAGCAGGCACAGCCAUAUCAAAGUGUUGGAGAGGAGGAUUGCACCAUCCACCAUUGUUGUUAGGCAAAGCAGGGUUAGGAGGGCAAAAAUUUGUAGCAGGGAGACACCAUUAAUCGAUCGAACGAAUUAAUUAAGCUCCUUGAUGGCAUCUGAAUAUGGCAUAUCAACUUGGAGUCUUGAAACAAACUGUACUAAAUAUAGUUGGAAGUGGUGAUUGGUCAAGUGAUGUAUAUAUGUUAGUUGGAAUUUAUGAACUCUCUUAAUUAUAUGAUGUUAAAGGCAACAAAUUAAAAUCCCAUUUGAAAAAAAAGAGAGAAGAUGCAUGUGUUAGAUUUUGGGUUUGAUUUAUUUGAUAGUUAGACUGCUUAAUACAAGCUUAAUAUAUAUAUAUAUAUAUAUAUAUAUAUAUAUAUAUAUAUAUAUAUAGAGGAAUGCACAACAAAAACAAUAUUCAAUAGUCUUUUUAUUUUUAAUAAUCAUCAAAAGUAUAUUGAAAAUAUCAUAAAGCUAAUAGCUAAGGCAAUAAACAAGAAUAAGAUCAAAUAAGAGGAAAAAAAAAUACUUGAAGAAAAAAAAAUACAGAAAAAAGAAAAAAAAACAAUAUUCAAUAGUGAUUCUAUUUGAUAUGAAUUAAUUGCUUAAUUAAUUUUUUUUUUCUAAACAUCUCUCUUUCACCCUUUUGGUCCUGGCUAGACAAAGAGAAUGACCCUCUGCUUCCUCAGCCACCAUUGUUCCUUAGCCUCUAUUCAAUAUCCUUAUUAAGACUGUGAGAUCAAAUGACACAAUGUUUAUUGACAAGUGCUCAAUCAUGUGCCCUCACAAAGUUUUUGCCCAUAAAUGUAUUGAAAUCAUGGAUUUUCCACUGAUAUGUACAUUGUUUUCAAGAACAUUGUACAUCAUACACCCACAGCUUAUUUAGGAAGAAAUGAUACAAGAACAACAAGCAAAAAUGACGCAAACAGCAAUCUUCCCCCUCCAUUUUUUAACUUAUCACAGCUUCUCUGUAGCUACCAAUCUCAUGGACUAGACCUUCAUGAUCUAGUUGUCCUCUCAACAAGUCACUCAAUUGGACUUGCUUGGUGAGUCACUUUCUGCUAUCGAAUUUACAAUGAAACUGAUACAUACACCAACUUUGCUACCUCCUUGAGCUCAUGUUGCCCACGAAGUGGAGGAGACGAUGUUAGGAAACCAUUUGAUUCAACUUCAACAAGUUUCGAUACGAAAUAUUUUGUGGAUUUGGUGAAUAAAAUGGGAAAUAUGAUGUCUCUCAUUGGCAAUGGAGAGAUCAGAAUGAAUUGCAGAGUGGUGAAUCCUUCUUAAAAUUUACACGCAUUUGUUUUUCGGGACUGGCAAUGGAAAAUGUUCACUUCUACAUGCUUUCUGUAUUGAAUUAAUCUUUGUUUAUGCACGUAAUCCCAUUGGCAUGAAAUGGAAAGGGUAACAUUGUUAUUUGGUAACCAAGAAAAUAAAGAAAAAAAUUAUUAUCAUCAUGGAUAACAAAGCACAUGAUCAAGAUGAGAAAUAUGAAGCCACUUACUGGAACUGAUGGGGAGAUCAUAAUGAAUUGUAGAAAGGACUAUGGGUUUUAAUCUUGCUCUUUCUACAUUCAAAACCGAAACAAGGAGCACAGUUUUGUCAAAUUUGAAAAUAUAGCAUGAUCAUUUCUUAAUUAAUUGUUGUUUCACUUAUCUUUCAUAACAGGUAUUUUUUGACAUUCUUUAAAAAAAAAAAAAAAAAAAGCCAACCCAUGAACAUAGUCUACAUCAAAUUACAGAAUUUAUUGCUCAAAUCUAUAGUUGAAGAGAAGAAGUUAAACCCCACAAAAAACUGGUCAGUCGACCACACUAACUGUAUGUAAGAACAGAUCUUCCAAACUGAUUGUGUAAAAUUCCUUUGGCAGAGAAGGCCACUGAGUCACAAGCUCCGAAGAAAUUCUUCCCAUUGUAGGUCGGGAUUGCGGAUUGGGAUGCAAGCAUGCAAGUGCUAUCUUCAUGAUAUGGACAACACCCUCUACUGCUCCUUUUUUAGGAAGCGAGAUGCGUUGGUCAAGCACAUCCUUCAACAAUGUCUGUUGAGAAAUCGGUGGCUUCGAAGAUGAUGAGGAAGAUGCUUGUGAUGAGAUUGUGGAGAUGAGAUCGCCUGGGUGCCUUCCCAUCAUCACUUCCAUUGUUACCACUCCGAAGCUAUAGACAUCACAUUUUUCAGUCACUUUCAUCGUGUAAGCUAGCUCUGCCAAAAAAAAUGGUUAUGCUGUGUAUUUAUUACAUAGUUGAUAGAAAUAAAAUUGAAAAAAAAAAUUACUUAAGUAUUUAUAAUAUAAGCUAAAAACAUACUAUUAUAGGAAGUAGGAACUUAAUGUUGAAGUAAAGCUACGCACCUGGAGCAGUAUAUCCAAAAGUACCUGCAAAUGAGGUCCAAUUGGAUGAGUCAGGCAUCAACAGUCUAGCUGUGCCAAAGUCAGAGACAUGUGCCUCAUAUUCCAAAUCCAGAAGGACAUUAUUGCUGGUAAUGUCUCGAUGAAUGAUCGGAGGAGAGCAAGAAUGGUGUAGAUAGGAUAAAGCUCCAGCCAUCCCUUUCACAACAUUUAGCCUUUUCAUCCAAUCCAGCUCAAUUGCUUGUUCCUCACUGGUUAUGAUCUUUCUCAAGCUUCCUCUUUCUAUGAACUCAUAAACCAAAAAAGAGUGCUUUGCAUGUGAGCAAAAUCCAUACAGCUUCACGAUAUUUCGAUGUCGAAUAUUUGCCAAAACACAAACUUCCGUUUCAAAAGCUUUAAAAUCGGACAACUUGUCUGUUUGUGACCGGUGAAGUUUCUUCACAGCAACCACCUGUUCUGCUGGCAUCACUGCUUUAUAAACAGUUCCAUAUCCUCCUUCACCAAUGCAGUAGUUGGAAUUGAAUUCCUCGGUAGCUGCAAUGAUAUUCUCAUACAACAACUUCCCAUCAUGGCCCAAUAUCGUGAAUAAGUUUCGAUCUUGUUCAAUAUUCCCUGGCUCAGCUUUUCUCUUCCUAGCUCUUUGGCGGAGAAUGAAUAAAGCUCCAAUCACAACAAGCACUAAUAGUAAGCUUCCUAAAAGAGGGAGUACAAUCAAAAUAACAAGUUUGUUGCUCUUUCUCUUAACAGUUCUGCUGCUUUUUGGAAGAUUGCAUGGCUUUAGACCACUGGCGUUGCCACAUAUACCCAUAUUAUCCCUUAAUGCCUCAAAUGAAGCGUUGUGGAAGGCUUUGGUAUCGGGAAUAGGGCCAUGUAGCUCAUUGUAUGAUAUAUCCACAACUGUCAAGCUUAAUAGAUCUUUGAAAGUGCGCGGAAUCAAUCCAGAAAGCAUGUUGUGAGAGACAUUCAGAGUUUCCAACAUUUGCAGUUGCCCAAGUUGCCACGGUAUCUCUUGAGCUAAGAAAUUGCAACUAAGAUCAAGAUCUUGAAGAGAACGCAGAAAGCCCAUCUCCUGUGGAAUGCUAUUUGUAAAUUUAUUAUUACUGAGGUUCAGCAACAAUAAAUUUGAGCACUCCCCAAGUUGUUUUGGAAUCGAUCCACUUAGAUUAUUAGAUGCUAAAUCAAGGAUUUUGAGGGAAGAAAGCAUCUUGAUGUCUGAGGGAAUGGCACCUGAAAGAUGGUUGUUGCUAAGAGUAAGGUUGUACAACAGCUUCAACCCCCCUAAUUCUUUUGGGAUGGUUCCUUCUAAGUGAUUUGAGGACAGAUCAAUCAAUUGUAAUUGAGUAGCCUUCCCGAGCUCUGUUGGUAUCUCCCCAGAAACAUUAUUGUUUGAGAUUUUCAAGCUCGUUAUGUUACGAUAAUCUCCCCAUUUCAAAGAAAGCUCGCCAUAAAAAUUAUUGUAACUCAAAUCAACAUAAUUCAAAUGUGGAUAGAUGCCAAAAUCCUCAGAAAUAUUUCCUGUCAAUUGAUUCCUAUCAAGUCUUAGUCGGUGUAAACCGGUACAGUUUUUCAAGCUUUUCGGGAUGGAACCGGAGAAAUAGUUGUUACAAGCAAUAAAUCUUUCAAGUACUUCUCCAUGGCAUAGCUCUUGUGGCAAAUGACCCGUGAAUUCAUUGUAAGACAAAUCCAAAAACUUCAAAUGGGUAAGAUUGUUCAUCUUUAGGGGCAAUGAUCCGCGAAGUUUGUUCUCACCGAAGGUCAAUUUCUCUAGAGAUUUAAGCUUUCCUAUUUCUGAAGGAACAUAUCCAUAUAAAUUAUUUUCACCUAGAUAGAGAAAGGAUAGGUUUUUUAAAUUUCCAAUAGAGGAGGGGAUCAAACCAUUGAGAUUGUUUUCAUCUAGUUCUAUAUCAACGAGCAUGCUCAUGUUCCCAAUAAAAGAAGGUAUAGGACCAGAUAGUUGGUUUUGAUAAAGGGAGAGAAAAGAUAGAUUUGUCAAGUUUUUAAUUGAAUUAGGGAUUUCACCGGUUAAAAUAUUACUUGAAAAGUCAAGAUCAUAGAGAGAUUCUAGCAAUCCAAUGUCUUUAGGAAUGGAACCAGAGAGUUUGUUACGCCAAAGAUAGAAUAUUGAUAGGUUCCUCAAAUUUCCAACAGAGGAGGGGAUUGAACCAAUGAGAUUAUUUUGUCCGAGCUCUACAUCAAUGAGCAUAAUCAUAUUCCCAAUAGAGGUAGGAAUGGGACCAGAGAGUUGAUUUUGAAAAAGGUGGAAAAAUGAUAAGUUCGUUAAGUUUCCUAUUGAAUUAGGGAUUGCACCGGUUAAAUUAUUACUUGAAAAGUCAAGAUCAUUGAGUGAUUCUAGCAACCCAAUUUCUCCAGGAAUGGAACCAGAGAGUUUAUUACCCCAAAGAUAGAGUAUCGAUAGACUCCUCAAAUUUCCAACAGAGGAGGGGAUAAAACCAGUGAGAUUAUUUUGUUGUAGUUGUAGAUCAAUGAGAAAGCUCAUGUUCCCGAUAGAAGAAGGGAUGGGACCAGAGAGCUGGUUUUGAAAGAGGUGAAGCAAGGAUAAGUUUGUCAAGUUUCCAAUAGAGAAGGGGAUCACACCAGUGAGAUUAUUUGCAGAUAAUGAAAGAAGGGAAAGAGACGUCAACUUUCCAAUUUCACAUGGGAUGGAGCCACUAAGAAUAUUUCCACACAGAUACAAGAUGUUGAGACUUUUCAUUAAGCCUAUCUUAGAUGGGAUGCUUCCCGUGAGAUUAUUAUCACAUAAAUUGAGCUCAGUAAUCUUGGGUAGAUUAUCAAUGCCUGAUGGAACGGUUCCAUGAAUUGAAUUCCUCUGGAGAUUGAGAGAGAAAAGAUUGGGGAAGGAUGAGAAGUUGAGAUCAUAAAGCGUACCUCUCAAGCCAAAGUGUGGAAGGCUCAAGUUGGUGACGCUUCCAGAACUGUCGCAAGUGAUUCCAGUCCAGUUAAUGCAAGGGCUGAUGCCGAACCAAGAAGAAAGAAGAGAUUGGCUUUGGUUGUCAAGACUUGCCUUCCAUUUAAGAAGAGCCUCAGCUUCUGUAUUAUUACCUCCAGCAACUUUGGAAUUGGCAGCACUUAUAGCCGUACCAAAUAUUGAAGUUUUAGAGGAAGUGUGAUCAGCAAGAACAAAGAAAGAAGAGUAGUAGAACAUGUGAAGGAGCAAAAACAGGACGUGGAGAAAGAUUGAGAAGAAUGGUUUGUGUAGCAGGGACGUCAUGGUUGUGUGUUUUUUCAAGAGAUAAUAAUAAAGUAAUGGUAGGCUCCUUCAUUUAUAGGAUGGAAAACAUGAUUGGAAUCUUCUUCUUAAUUUCAUUCGAAUAUUACAAAUCUGAAAUUAAUUACCAAUUCAUCAAUAAUUUCUUCUCCCUUUCCGAAAUCAAAUCAUAGGAUGCGACAAUAUUAUUGUGGGCUCGCUUUACUAAUGUGCAAGUCCUAUGGACUUACACAUUGUUGACUUCCUUUGUGUUAAGCACACUUUUUUGAGAAAUUAUAGUGUUACAGUUUUAGGAUUUUUAUUUAUCGAGAUUAAACUUAAACAAAAAAUGCUCAUCGAAUAUAUAUAUUAACUAGCCAUAAAAAAACCCAGUUAAUUCUAUUAUAAAUAAUAAAGAAUAUUUCAAACAGUUUUUAUUUCAUAUUAAAAAAAUAAAAUAUUUAUCUAAUAUAGUAAAUUUUGAUAUGGAAUAGUAACAGGCAAGGAAAGCAUAGUGGGCUCACGGGCAGAACGUUGAGCCGAGCAAGAGGAAAACCUUUGAUUGUCCCCCUACACGCGCGAGACAACGCCUAUACUUUUUGAACCUUUUAUCUCCAACAUUAAUUUGUUUUUGGCCUUUAAACUAUUUUUUAAACACUUGAAAUUAGUUUUUUAACAGUCACAAAAUCCUAACAACUUUUUUAUUUUAAAAACUUUUUAACAGCCACAACUCUUUAAUUCCCUAACAGUUCUUUUAUUUUUUUUUAACUAUUAUAACAGCUCUUUAAUUUUUUAAUUUUUUUUUUGUUUAGCUGUAACAUGUUAGCUGUCUAUAUAUAUAUAUGCACUCUUACAAUCAAAGUAUACUUAAAAAAUUAUAAUAUUAUUUUUCUAUGUUCGAAAAGUUUGUUGGUAUUUCUUUUUGAUCUUGGUUUAUUGUUUCUGUAACUCUCAUUUUAGAGGAGGAACUUGUUGAAUUCUGGAGAAUAGCCUUAUGUUGAGAAAAUAUACUUAAAAGACAGUUUCUAUACACGUCUCAAAUUAUAUUUUAUUUUUGUUCUUCUUUGUAUUUUAGUAAUAUAGAUGAAAACACUACUGCUACCAGGACUGCUCUCCUCAACAAUGUUGUUGUUGAGAACUCUGUUAUUGUCAUCUUUAUUGUUGCUAACUCUGCUGCUGCUGCUACUGUUUCAUUAGCUAAGGGACCAUGAUAAGUGAAUUGAAUUGUUCAAUAAAACUAUGAAUGCUCUCGUUCUCGACACAGUUAAAUACGCUAGUCUACUUGACGCUAUCGUGCUCAAGGGGAUAAUGGAGGGCUACCAAAUAUUCCACUCCACUAAAUACAUAAUGGAGGGCCAACGUUGUCAAAUUCAAGAAAUUGGGGAGACCAUGGAAACAAGUAAAACGAAGGAUGGUUCCUCGUAUCACAAUUGUUUUUCAUGGCACGGUCAUUUUUGGCACUCAGUGGACGUGGGCUAAGACUCUUGUGAAAUUGAGGGGGGAAAAUAUAUUGUCGAAAAUUAUUUUAUAAAGAUAGCAUAAUUCAUGUGCGUGCGAUUUAAAGAAUGUAGAACAUGUCUGAUGAGUCUGCACUCUCAUGAACUUGAUUUGUUGUUGAGCAAUAAAGCUUGCUUGCACAAGGAAUGGCACCUGAAAGAUGUGGGUCAAGCUGACUGCAAGGACUGAGAGGGUUUAGGCCAAGUGGGGUCAGUAAUGCAGCGAGCAAGUCUGAGGUUUGAACACUUUGUCAAUCUCUUAUUGGCCAAGUAUUUUCACGAGCUAUGUAAUGUUAGAAAGGAGGGUAAAAAGCUGGUCUCAAUUGGGAGUCUUUCCUCCCACCUAGUCUAACAUUUAAACAACCAUGCCGGGAUUUGCUUUCAAAGGGGUUGAAUGUGCAAAUAUGAAAGGCUUUUUCAUGUGUUGGGAAUUGGAACUUGGUUCCAGUGUGGUGAGCUGUAUGCAUAUAAAGUGGGUCUUGUUCUUGUUGCUUCAACUACGAACAAGAGUAAAGUUUAGGUUAGGGCUUAGAGGGCCGUUGUUUGGCUAACGUUCUCCAAUGCAAAGGCUGGUUUAAGUCUGUACUUCGAAUUGAAUUCGGAGAGUUCUUUGUCCGUUGGUUCUCUUCCGGUCCCCUACGGUUCAUUGCAAUCUUCUGCUGAAUUUCCUUUCUCAUUUGUCGAUUGCUAUCGUACUGCACUAUGCAGUCAUUAAUUACUAUAAGCAUAAUUACGAAUUUACGAUACCUCCUGAACUUCGACCGAUUUGAUUUAGAUCCUUGUUCUUUCAAACAUUGAAUUUACACCCCUUGAACUCUUAAUUUGUUAAAUUAGAUGCCUUUUAACACAUUACGAGAGAGUUGUCUUAGUUUGUUCAUGAUCAAGUCACGACUCGUAACUUCAUUCACCAGGGGAGCCUUGCUAGAAAUUAACUUCAUGUAACAAACGUCAGGUUGAUGAUUCAUACAUCUGCAGAUCUGCAUAAAAUUUUUGAACUAGUAAAUGAUGGGUAUUCAAGGUUUUAACACCAUAUCAAAGAACCAAUUCAAUUCAAAAACUUAAAUUAUUAAGUGAGUUUUUAUAAUUUAUAUUAUUAAUUAUACUAAAACCUUAAACAUUUCAUCAUAAAAUAAAACACAAAGAAUUUAUAAUUAUAGCUUACAAAAUAAGAUUUUCAUCGAUCACAAUCAUAAUAUCAUCAUAAAUGUAAAUUAACUCCUGUUUCUCUGGUGCUUGACACUGUUGAAAUUUCCAAAUCAUCUUUGCUUCCCCUUUCCAAAUUAUUGUCGGUAAGUCCAACGUUCACACUCUAUCUUGCUUAAGGGGCUGAAUAGUGUAGACGGGUCAAUGGGGAUGGAAAAAUUGUAACGCUGUGGAUGUGGAUUUGUCGGCAAUAUUUGAUAUUGAUAUUGUGUUAAAAAAAUUUAAAAUUUUUUAUUUUUUUAAUUAAUAUUUUUUUAAUAUUAUCAGAUCAUUUUGAUGUGUUAAUAUCAAAAAUAAUUUUUUAAAAAUAAAAAAAAUAUUAUUUUAAUAUAUUUUAAAAUAAAAAAUACUUUAAAAAAUAAUCAUUUUCAUUUUUUAAAUUGAUAUUUUUUUUAUAAUUUCUUCCAAAUCAUUGCAUGCGACAGUAUAGUGGGCUCGCCUUACUAAUGUGUGGACUUUCUUGAUCUUAAACAUAAUUUCAUCAGAAAUUAUACUAUUACAAUUUCUUAUGAGAUUGAUUUUAUUUUUAAACAUGUUUUUUAUUUAUCAAAAUUUAAACUUAAACAUUUAUGGUUAUCACAAUUUUAAAAGGAUUGCUCAAUUAAAGAGGAAUUAUUAGGUAUUUUGCAUACCUUAUGAUUAUGCCUUUUAGGUAUUUUUUAAUUGCUUGAUCGAAGUCAUCACAAUAUAUAGUGUGGACAUCAGCUAAUUAGGCUAAACACCGUGGAAGGAAUUUUUUUUUGCAAAGUUUGAUUAUUUGAUUACCUAAUUGUUGACAAAUGGGUUCUAAUUCAUGCAGCUGCAGACUCCUUCCUUUUUUAUCCUCAAAUUCGGCUAGAACAUUCACAAUCAAUGGCAUGAUCUAUCAUACGCUCCUUGAGUUUCUGCUAACCCUUUUGUUUUCCAAAAUGUCCGAAUGUAUACUACACUCAUUAUUCAUUACUGCUUUAAUGGAGGAAAUUCUGAGUUUCCAUGCAUGAGUCAGUCCAGCAAUGAUCGAGUUUCACGUACGGCAAUGCUAAGAAUAACAGUAGCUGUCUAGCUAGGAAGAUUGCGAUAUCAUUUUUCAUUGGCCAAUCAAUGGCAAGUCUGUGCAUUUCUGAUUUUGUUUUUCAUGUAUCUGCAUACAGGAACAAGUAUUGAUCAAAAGCAUUCUGAAACCUUUCCUAAUCUUUAUCUGAGAAAGAGGUUUGUCUUCUUUGCGCUUGUUGGCUAACCUAAUUCUCUGGAAGAAAUUGAGAAUCUUUCUUUCAAGUUGCGUUUUAUUUGUGACAUUGAUGAGAACGUCCUGUAUAGCUUGUUGAAUUAUUGAAAAUUCUUGCAAGCUUAAUUAUUGGUCAAUGUAGUACUAAUUUCUCUCAAACUCUUAAAGCAAUACUCUGGAUCGAGUUGUGUUGUUGGAAGAAUCACAAGCGUUACAAAAAUAAACAGGUCAAUCACUUCUAAAUUUCUGAAGCAAGCAUUGAAAUUGAAAUUGAAGAAUUUCUGGAAUGGAUGAAGAUAAUGGAAUUUGAUUGCAAGAUUCAUUUGUAAAUGAGAAGGGAAUUGAAUUGGAGAAUAGAGCUUAAUUUAUCUGCUUUUAUGACACAAAAUAUCAAUCAAAUUGAUCAGUGACUAACGCUAGUCAAGCUAUGAAUACUACAAUUCUUUUCUAUUCUCUCCUUUUAGUUUCAGAUGUUCUCAAUCUCUAAUUCGUUAUGUCUGUGUUGGAACUGUAUCGAAAUGCGUGAUUAAACCCCAUUUCCUGCGGUGUUAGUCUAUCCUUUUUGUCCAUCAAUACUACAAUUAAUGCAAACUCUUGUGUCUGACUACAAAAGCACACGCACCUUACUGCUAGUUGUGCACUAGUACUGCAAUUUCACUUAAAGUUUCUGAGCUUAAUACCUAUGGCUGCUCUUCGAUCCUUGUUAUUGUAUUUUUCAGCAGCUGCUGCUAUUUUGAACCCUUCACAUGUCGCUUUGCUCCUUGACUACCUAUACUUACAGUGCCCUAAGAUUAAACAUAUUGUGUCCGAGGGUCAAAGUAAGUUCAGUAUUUAAUUGCUCGAGACUCCUUGAAGAAAGCAAAUAUCCAAAAUCACUAGUAACACGCUAUCGUGCUCAAGGAGAUAAUGGAGGAUUACCAAAUAUUCCACUCCACUGAAAGAUAAUGGAGGGCCAACGUUAUCAGAUUCAAGAAAUCGGCGAGACUAGGGAAACAAGUAAAACAAGGAUGGUCCCUCGUAUCACAAGGAAUGUCGGCUGAGACUCCUGUGAAAUUGAGAGGAAAAAGUAUAUCGAUCGUGGGAAAUUGAGAGAUUCUAUCUAGUAAUUAAAAAAAAAAAAGUAUAUCGUGGGAAACUAAGAAUUUCUAUCUAGUAAUUAAAGAAAUCUAUAAAUUCUAAAAUGUGUACUGGUUCUAGAUAUUUAAUUAAAGAGUUUGUUAUGUACAUGAGAAUAACGAUAUCAUCUUUACUAUAUUUUUUUUUACGGAAUAUUAUUUUUACUAUGUGUUUUUUUUUCAAUUUAUCUUUUUUUAUUGCUCUUAAUUAUCCUUAUUGUUUUUAAUUUAUAUUUUUUAUUUUUAAUUUCUAAUAUUUUUUUAAAAAUUUGAUGUCGGUUUUUAAACAUGUCAGAAAAUGACAUCGGUCUCUAAAAAUAAAAAAAAACUCUUCAAAGAUAUUGAUGUUAAAUUCUAAAAAAAGGUUUCAUCAAAAUUGAUAAAAAUAUUAUUUGAAUUUAAAUCUAGACAUACAUUCUUUUUUUUUUUUUAAAGAGAGAGAAAAUAGUGUUUAUCCUUCAAAGAAGAAAUUUCAUCAAUGUUGUUAAAAGAAUGGGUGUUGAAUCUACUAUGAUAAGAAUUGUGCUUUAAACCAAGUAGAAAAAAUGAGUUUGGGCCUUUUUGUUAAAAACAAUUCUUGGAAAUUGUUGAAUUUUAUCAUUGUUUUUUUUUUUUUGUUCUUUUAGAAAAGAAACAUGAGUUUUUAUAUAUAUUUUUUUGUUAUAUGGUUUCAAUAGGCUAGUUUAUUAGACCAAAGUCUUAAUAGAUUUAAUAUAAUUAUUAUUAAGUUCAAAUAUUUUUUAAAAAUAAAAAAACUUGGCCACAAUGCACAAUAUAUACUUGACCCAAGCCCAUUAAACCCAGAUUAAUAAAGCUAUAGCCCGAUAUUCAUUAAAGAAAAUCCAAGCCUACAGUCCAUCACGCAGCCCACGGACCGUGAUGAAUAAACCUAAGGAAACUAAAUCCAGCCCAUUUGCUACAACCCACAUAAGCCUUAUCCAAGAAACAAAAUGGGCCAAAUCCAGAAUAUCCCCUAACCCAAUGAAAAAAAACACGGGCUUGUCAAAGAACCCAAAAUCCUAAAAAAAAAAAACAAAAGCAAAGGCUUAUGUUUUUGGAUCCAUGAACAGCUUGUAAAACUGGUGUUAAUAUUGUAAAGAUUAAGAGCGAGUCAGAGAUUGUGGUUAUAGUUGCCAACUAAUUGUUAUUAUUGCAACAAAUGUAAAUAUAAUCUAUAUAUAUAUAUGAACUGAUGAAAUGGAUAUGGUUGAUCAUGAAGACCAAUAUUUCAUUUUCAUUAUUGAAUCAUUAUAGUAGCAAUAAGCCUAGUGUACUCGGUAAACAUUAUUAGAUACCCCAUCAAUCCAAUAUUUUCAUCCAAACACUCAUAGAAAAGUUACAAUAUAUAAAAAAGUGCUCUAUCAGAAGCAAAAGACAUACAAAGCUUGAGUAGCGGCCAAAAAAUCUAGUGAUGAAGACAAGCUCUAAUACUAACUUUGUCCUCAACUACUAAUUAAAGAAACACCUGAACUUUCAGAGGAGCCCUUUUAAUCUAGAUAUUAGCUUUAAAAACUGUAUCAUUAGCUAAAAAGAUACUAUCAAUUAGGAUGUAAGAGAACUUAACUGAGAAGCUUUUAUCAGAAUUAUACGGUCAUAAGCAAAAUAAUAGUUUUAUCUUAAAUUUCUUGAAUUAAUUUAAUUUAAUAACUGUGAAUAUUCACGUAAUUUGGAAAAUACGAGUGUCAGACAUAUUUUAGAUGUACGCGUCUCUUAGAAUUGAUGUCAUGUUCAACCCACCAACUAUAGAAAAAAGAAAGCAGAAGCUAGAAACAAAGCAAAACAGAAUAUAGCAUAAUUUUCUUUGUUAUUAUUUGUUUAUGCUUCACAUAUGGUAAAACAUACAUAUAUUAUAAUGCCAACUAUCCAACUACUCCAGCAUGAUUAUUGACUCAUUGAUAUGAAUUAGUGACUUAAUAGUUUGACUAAAUCAGUGAUUGGAUCAGGUUUAAAAAUAUCUAUUGAUAGAAUUGAUUGGAAGAUUUUUAAAGAAGACUAUAAACAACUAAUAAUAAUAAUAAAAAAAAAAAGACUCAUUCUCUCCCCCUUCGCAUGCUGAUACAGGCUACAUUAGGAAUUAUUUGGAAAACCCUUGGAUUGGUUUCCAAAUUAUCCACCAAUUCCCAACUGGGAUCUAACAAAUUAAACGAAACAAAAUCAUUUCAAUUGAAUUUUGAAAGUUUUCGAAAUCCCGAGUAAAGAACAUUAUAGAAAGCAAAAUCAUUCAAUGACUUUAAAUCAUCGUUUCACAAUUUUCGUUGCCCAGUAAGUAAUCUAUGACAAACAAGUGAGUAAGUAUUCAUUUUAUCGUGAUUCAAUUAUAGAAAACAAAUCAUAUUUAAUUGAAGCAAUGUUCACUCAAGGAAGACGCAAGAAUGUAUGCCAAUUGUCAUGUAAAUAUAAUCUAUAUAUAUGAAUUGAUGAAAUGGAUAUGGUUGAUCAUGAAGACCAAUAUUUCACUUUAUUAUUGAAACAUAUAAGUUGAAGCAAGCUCACCCCAGCCCAGCCUAUCCCAUGCAGCAUACCAUCCUGCUAACCCCCCCAAGGCAUCUACUACUACUAGCUAGAACAGAUCAAAGCUUUUGAAAGACCACUCGAAAAGAAGAAAACACAGCAAGGUCGAUGAAGAGAAGAAGAAAAGAGGGUCUGCUGCCGGUGAAGAAGUCACUGGAAACAACCAUAUUGGAGGCUUAGGAUCGAUAUAUCUUCUACCGCUUGCGCAAGCCCCUAAAAUAAGCAGAAGGACUUGCUUCAAAAUUUCUCCUUGGUAUGCGAGAGUUCCUCCCUGGCGCUUUCAUUGUUUUAACACUCUUGGCAGAACCUCCACAGCAACCACGAAACAGGAGUAGUAUCACUACCACUACCACUGCAACCAUUAUAGGAACGUUUUCUUUCUUAAACCAUCGGAGGACAUAUACCACUGUUUCGGGAGCGAGAAAUUUCUUUAUUUGAUCAGAAAGCUUGUGGGUUAAAUCAGACACUGCAUCGGAAGCUAUAAAUUUCUUAGUUAGAUCAAAAGGCGAACGAAUGUAUUCAGACACAGCAUCAGAAACCAGAAAUUUCUUUAUUAGAGAAUAAAGGUUAUUGAUAUUUGUGGAAAGAAAAGUUGGUAGUUCCAUUGCUUAGGGGGUAGACUGCGAUUUGUAUAGAAAUAAAUGGGGAGGAGAGUUUAUGGGUAAGGAAGAGAAUCAAGAGGAAGAAAGAAACGAAGAGGGUAAUGACAUAUGAGAAGGGAACACACAAUUAAUGGUGUCUUUUAUCAAGUGAAAAUGAAAGAAAAAAAACGAGGAGGGUAAUGACUUGAGGAUGGACUAGGAAAAGUAUUGAGUGACUGUGAUGUUUUGUUUUUGUUUUUUUUUUUAAAAUUGAUUAUUUAAGUAAUCUAUCACAAACAAGUGAGUACAGUAUUUAUUUUAUCGUGAUUCAAUUAUAGAAAACAAUAGUAUUUAAUCGAAGUAAUGAUCCCUUAAGGAAGAUGCAGAGCAUCUGUGUCAAUUGUCAUCUACCCGCUCACCACCAACUUUUCUUUGAGGUUUAACUAAAGAAAAGAAACUUAGUAAUGGUGAUCAUGAGACCGCUCUAAGUUUUUUAUUAUUAUUCCUUUCGAUUUAUUAAAGAUGGUAAUGGAAGAGGAAGGAAACUAAACAUAUCACACUAAUAAUAAUGGCAAAAAUGAUCGAUGGGCAUCACAAAUUCAAUUAACGAAACUUACACGUGAAAACAACUUAAUGAGAAAUCAUUACGACGUUGAAUACUGCUCUUGUCAUAUUCAGGAUGGAAGCAUAUUUCAUAUGUAUCAUAAGAUAAGUUGUAUUGUUAUUUGUUUUUUUUAUUUAAAAUUGAGUAUUUUCUAUUCGUUUAUCUUUUCUAAGGUUCAAGGUAGAUUUCUUUUUAUAAAAAAAUCUCUACCUUAUCGGGUUAAAUCCUAACCAUUUUAAAGUCUGAAUUUUAAUUAAUAUCGUAUUUUUACACCUUCCAUCUUUAAUACUCCAGGGUGUACUUUAUCGUAUAAUUUUACACCCCAUGAAUAUUAAAGUUUACAUCUUGACCCUAAAAAAAUUGGUGAAAGGAUUUUUGAUAUUGUGGUCAAAUCCUAAUGGAUAAUCAUAAACUGGUUACAAUAUCUAUUUUGCAUUUUAAAACAUGAACAAGAUGCAAUUUUUUUUUCUUUUUAAGAAAAUUUGCUUGAAAAAUUUUAGGAUUUGACCAUAUGCAUGAAAAAAAAAUAUUGGAAAUUUGUCGUUUUUAUUUUCAUAUAUAAUAUAUAAUAUUAUAUAUAUUAAUUAAGUAUUAUUAAAACAUGUGGGCUGGGCCAAGCUCAGUACCAGAAAAGGUGGGCUAAUACCGGCCUCACAAAUUUUUUUUUUUUGGGUGGCCGGGCCGGACCCAGCCUAGACACUUGGGCUGGGCCACCACUGGCCCGACCCAAAGUCAAUGUUAAUUAUUUACAAAACGUGAUAGUAGUUGACGUUCUGCAUGCAACCAAAUUGGUUGCAGAAAAUGGAGGUUGACGGAGGAUUGGCUCACUCGAAGGAGUCUCGGCCAUGAUCAAGAGGCUUAACUAGUGGUUCUGGCGGCAUUGCUGCGAGGAACGAUGACCUGAGUUGUUCACAGGGAGAAGAGGAAGACUUCUGCAGAAGUGAGAGAAAGGAAGAAAAGGUGGUUGUUUCAGGCAUGGGGGUGGCUGGGUGGUGGUUAAGCUAGCUACCUGUGGUGGAGCUGGUGGUGGCUCUGGUUGGUAGCUGGAACGGCAAAGAGAAAGAGGGAGAUAAAAAAAUUUGCAGAAACAGGGGGUAGAGGGGUUGGUUUUGGCCGACUUUGAACCUGAUUUUUUUCCUGCUCAGGCCAUGAAAUCCACCCCUAUUUAUAGGGGGUGGAAGAUGUAUUCUUGUCUGCACAGGGAAAAAAUUUCAGCCCUUGAUUCUAUUGGUAAGGAUUCUAACCAUUGGUUCAAAGUAAGCACCAUGAACUGUCAAAUCUAACAAUUCAAGGCUGUCUGAGUUCGCUAUUUUAGGCUAGUGCCGAGGUCGUUUUGAUGAUAAUAUGCCUAAAUGGACCAUACUCGGGGAUAAAGGGAUGUCAGGUGACUAUUUUGGUUCCUGUGUUGUCUAUUUUUGUGGACAUAUGAGGCAUUAAAUGCACUUGAAAAGUAACCACUCAAGCAACAUUCUCGGGCAAAAUCGAGGAAGAAAAUAAACAGUGACAAGACGACACGUCAUCUAGCUCUCUCUCUCUCUCUCUCUCUCUCUCUCUCUCUUAUUUUUUUAAAUGCAAAAAGGGUUUCGUUUUUUGUUAAAUAAGGGAUUUUUGUGAAACUUUAAUUGAGUCCUUCAGCUUUCGCAUUCAUUCAAUUGCACCCUUAAUUAGCCAUAAACCUUUGAUUUAGUGCAAUUUAGCCCCUGCUGAACUCCAAUUUUAACCCUGAAUUUCAGCUCUUUUUGCACUUUGGUCCUUGGUUUCGGAUUUAUGCAAUCUAACCCCUGAUUAACCAUUAAACUUUUAAUUUUUUCAAUUUCACCCCUGGUUUCAACCAAUUAAGCCCUUGGAGUUCGGCGCCUUUUACAAACUAGUCCUUAGCUGCGAAAAUCUUUAAUUUGACCCCUAAUUGACCCCAAAACUUCAAUUUUCUUGUGAUUUUACCCCUGAUUUUAAUGAAUUAUCUUGGUAAAAAUUAAAUUUGAUGUCUUGAAAUUACAAUCUUCUCAAUUAAACCCAAAUUGGGCUUCCAAACUUAAUUUUUAUUAGCUGAGGGACCAUGAUAAGUGAAUUGAAUUGUUCAAUAAAACUAUGAAUGCUUUUGUUCUUGACACGAUUGAAUGCGCCAUAGUUUUGAAGUCAGCUCGGCGGGUCAACCCGGGGCUGGAACCGGGCCAAGUUUAAGAAAAAAUUAGGAAAGUUAAAACCCGGGGUGACCUGGUUAGCCCGGCAAACUCGGUUCAAAACCCGGUUGCAACUCGUUGACUUUUAUUUUUUUAUUAAAACGAUGUCGUUUUAAUUUUUUAAAAAAAUUAAAAUUGACUUAGACAACCCGAUAACCCGAUUAAAACUCAAAAUCUAAGACUUGGACAAAUGAUAGCACGCUGUCGUGCUCAAGCGGAUAAUGGAGGGUUACCAAAUAUUCCACUCCGCUCAAUACAUCAUGGAGGGCCAACGUUGUCAGAUUCAUGAAAUUGGCAAGACACUUGUGAAAUUGAGGGGAAAAAAUAUGUUGUAGAAAAUUAAAAGUUUUUAUCUAGUAAUAAAAGGAAAUAGAGAUAUUAAAAUGUGUACUGAUCGCAGAUAUUUAGCUAAAAAAUUAGUUAUGCAUAUAAAAAUACGACAUUAUACUUACAAUAUUUUUUUAUAUAAAAAGUUAUAUUUAUUAUGUACUUUUUCCUUAAUUUAUCUUUUUGAUUAUUUUUAAUUAUCCUCAAUGUUUUUAGUUUAUAUUUUUAAUUUUCAAUUCCAAAUUAUUUUAUGAAAAAAUUGAUGUCAUUCUUUAAACAGAAAAUAAUAUGCUGAAGUUGAAUAAAAAAGGAUACGAAGCUUUAGCCCGAUAUUCUUUGUUAGAGGUUUUUUUUUUUUUUUUUUUCUUGAUUCUGUAUAUACUUGACCCAAAGCAUUUAGCCCAGAUUAAUAAAGAUAUAGCCCGAUAUUCUUCAAAGAGAAUCCAAGCCCACAGUCCAUCACACAACCCACGGCCAGUGCUGAAUAAACCUAAAGAAAACUAAAGCCAGCCCAUUGGCUAGAGCCCACAUAAGCCUCAUCCAAGAAAAAAAUGGGCUAAAGCCAGCCCAUUGGGGUUGAAAUGCAGCCUAUAUUUCAUGAUUUCUUGAAUUUUUUUAAAUUUAUUAUUUUUAUUUUUUCAGAUCAUUUUGAUGUCUUAACACUAGAAAUAAUUUUUAAAAAAUAAAAAUAAUAUUAUUUCAUAAAAAAAUGAAAAAAACCAAAAGAGAGGGAUGAAAUAAAUAUUGUUUUUGUAUAUUUAUCAGCUUAUUUAGGAAGAAAUGAUUCAAGAACAAGAAGCAAAAAUGACGGAGGUAUAACGAAGCACAUGAUCAAGAUGGGAAAUAUGAAGCCACUUACUAGAACUGAUGGGGAGAUCAUAAUGAAUUGUAGAAAGGACUAUGGGUUUUAAUCUUGCUCUUUCUACAUUCAAAACCGAAACAAGGAGCACAGUUUUGUCAAAUUUGAAAAUAUAGCAUGAUCAUUUCUUAAUUAAUUGUUGUUUCACUUAUCUUUCAUAACAGGUAUUUUUUUACAUACUUCAAAAAAAAAAAAACUGGUCAGUCGACCACACUAACUGAAUGUGAGAAGAGAUCUUCCAAACUUAUGGUGUCAAAUUCCUUUGGCAGAGAAGGCCACUUAGUUGCAAGCUCCGAAGAAAUUCUUCCCAUUGUAGGUCGGGAUUGCGGAUUGGGAUGCAAGCAUGCAAGUGCUAUCUUCAUGAUAUGGACAGCACCCUCUGCUGCUCCUUUUUUAGGAAGCGAGAUGCGUUGGUCAAGCACAUCCUUCAACAAUGUCUGUUGAGAAAUCGGUGGCAUCGAAGAUGAUGAGGAAGUUGCUUGUGAUGAGAGUGUGGAGAUGAGAUCGCCUGGGUGCCUUCCCAUCAUCACUUCCAUUGUUACCACUCCGAAGCUAUAGACAUCACAUUUUUCAGUCACUUUCAUCGUGUAAGCUAGCUCUGCCACAAAAAAAUUGGUUUUGCUGUGUUUUAAUCACAUAGUUGCUAGAAAUAAAAUUGAUAAAAAAAAUUACUUAAGUAUUUAUAGUAUAAGCUAAAAACAUACUAUUAUUCUUACUAUUAUAGGAAGGAGGAACUUAAUGUUGAAGUAAAGCUACGCACCUGGAGCAGUAUAUCCAAAAGUACCUGCAAAUGAGGUCCAAUUGGAUGAGUCAGGCAUCAACAUUCUAGCUGUGCCGAAGUCAGAGACAUGUGCCUCAUAUUCCAAAUCCAGAAGGACAUUAUUGCUGGUAAUGUCUCGAUGAAUGAUCGGAGGAGAGGAAGAAUGGUGAAGAUAGGAUAAAGCUCCAGCCAUCCCUUUCACAACAUUUAGCCUUUUCAUCCAAUCCAGCUCAAUUGCUUGUUCCUCGGUGGUUAUGAUCUUUCUCAAGCUUCCUCUUUCUAUGAACUCAUAAACCAAAAAAGAGUGCUUUGCAUGUGAGCAAAAUCCAUACAGCUUCACAAUAUUUCGAUGUCGAAUAUUUGCCAAAACACAAACUUCCGUUUCAAAAGCUUUAAAAUCGGACAACUUGUCUGUUUGUGACCGGUGAAGUUUCUUCACAGCAACCACCCGUUCUUCUGGCAUCACUGCUUUAUAAACAAUUCCAUAUCCUCCUUCGCCAAUGCAGUAGUUGGAAUUGAAUUCCUCGGUAGCUGCAAUUAUAUUCUCAUACAACAACUUCCCAUCAUGGCCCAAUAUCGUGAAUAAGUUUCGAUCUUGUUCAAUAUUCCCUGGCUCAGCUUUUCUCUUCCUAGCUCUUUGGCGGAGAAUGAAUAAAGCUCCAAUCACAACAAUCACUAAGAGUAAGCUUCCUAAAAGAGGGAGUACAAUCAAAAUAACAAGUUUGUUGCUCUUUCUCUUAACAGUUCUGCUGCUUUUUGGAAGAUUGCAUGGCUUUAGACCACUGGCGUUGCCACAUAUACCCAUAUUAUCCCUUAAUGCCUCAAAUGAAGCGUUGUGGAAGGCUUUGAUAUCGGGAAUGGGGCCUUGUAGCUUAUUGGAUGAUAUAUCCACAACUGUCAAGCUUAAUAGAUCUUUGAAAGUGCGCGGAAUCAAUCCAGAAAGCAUGUUGUGAGAGACAUUCAGAGUUUCCAACAUUUGCAGUUGCCCAAGUUGCCACGGUAUCUCUUGAGCUAAGAAAUUGCAACUCAGAUCAAGAUCUUGAAGAGAACGCAGAAAGCCUAUCUCCUGUGGAAUGCUAUUUGUAAAUUUAUUAUCAGUGAGGUUCAGCAACAAUAAAUUUGAGCACUCCCCAAGUUGUUUUGGAAUCGAUCCACUUAGAUUAUUAGAUGCUAAAUCAAGGAUUUUGAGGGAAGAAAGCAUCUUGAUGUCUGAGGGAAUGGCACCUGAAAGAUGGUUGUUGCUAAGAGUAAGGUUGUACAACAACUUCAACCCCCCUAAUUCUUUUGAGAUGGUUCCUUCUAAGUGAUUUGAGGACAAAUCAAUCAAUUGUAAUUGAGUAGCCUUCCCGAGCUCUGCUGGUAUCUCCCCAGAAACAUUAUUGUUUGAGAUUUUCAAGCUCGUUAUGUUACGAUAAUCUCCCCAUUUCAAUGAAAGCUCACCAUAAAAAUUAUUGUAACUCAAAUCAACAUAAUCCAAAUGUGGAUAGAUGCCAAAAUCCUCAGAAAUAUUUCCUGUCAAUUGAUUCCUAUCAAGUCUUAGUCGGUGUAAACUGGUACAGUUUUUCAAGCUUUUCGGGAUGGAACCGGAGAAAUAGUUGUUGGCAACGGUAAGAUUUUCCAAUACUCCUCCAUGGCAUACCUCUUGUGGCAAAUGACCCGUGAAUUCGUUGUCAGACAAAUGAAAUUGCUUCAAAUGGGUGAGAUUGUUCAUCUCUAGGGGCAAUGGACCAUGAAGUUUGUUAUUAGCCAAGCUCAAUCCCACCAGAGAUUUAAGCUGUCCUAUUUCUGAAGGAAUGCGACCAGAGAGUUUGUUAUCCCAAAGAAAGAGAUUGGAUAGGUUUUUCAAAUUUCCAAUAGAGGAAGGAAUUGAACCAGUGAGAUUAUUCACAGCUAAUGAGAGACGGGAAAGAGACGUCAACUUUCCAAUUUCAUGUGGAAUGGAGCCACUAAAAAGAUUUCUACAUAAAACUAAAUCAGUGAUACUUUUCAGGGAGCCUAUCUCAGAUGGGAUACUUCCCGUGAGAUCAUUAUAACAUAAGCCCAACUGAGUAAUCUUGGAUAGAUUACCGAUAUGUGAUGGUAAGGUUCCAUGAAUUGAAUUGUUCGAAAGGUCAAGAACGGAAAGAUUGGGGAAGGAUGAGAAGUUGAAAUCAUAAAGCGUACCUCUCAAACCGAAGUGCGGGAAGGUCAGAUUGGCGACACUUCCAGAACCGUCGCAAGUGAUUCCAAUCCAAUCAAUGCAAGGGCUGGUGCCGACCCAAGAAGAAAGGAGAGAUUGGCUUUGGUUGUCAAGACUUGCUUUCCAUUUGAGAAGAGCCUCAGCUUCUUUAAUAUUACCUCCAGCAACUUUGGAAUUGGCAGCACUAGUAGCCGCACCAAAUAUCGAAGUUUUAGAGGAAGUGUGAUCAGCAAGAACAAAGAAAGAAGAGAAGUAGAACAUGUGAAGGAGCAAGAAGAUCAGGACGUGGAGAAAGAUUGAGAAGAAUGGUUUGUGCAGUAAGGACAUCAUGGUGUGUUUUCAAGAGAUGCAGAAUAUUAAUGGUUUGCUAUGCUAGAUGGAGAUCCUAGGCUACAUGCAGUGGUAUUUAUAGGAUAAGGAUUGGAGUCUUUCUUAAUUUCAUCGAAUAUUUAAAUCUGAGAUUUCCAGUUCAUCAAUAAUUUCUUCUCCCAUUGGAAAUCAUAAGAUGCGACAAAUAUUGUAGACAUUGACAAUGUUGACUUGCUUUUUACAUAGAAAUUUAUUUCUAUUUUUCAAAAAUAAAUCUCAUAAAUGGAAAUAUAAUAACAGGAGUAGUACCCAUCUAAAAAACUAAAUAAAAAUAAAAGAUAGCACAAUUCGUGUGUGCGCGAUUUCAAAAAUGUAGAACAUGUCUGAUGAGUCUGCACUCUCAUGAACUUGAUUUGUUGUUGAGCAAUAAAGCUUGCUUCAAGUCAUGACUCGUAGCUUCAUUUACCAGUGGGGCCUUUGCUAGAAAUUAACUUCAUGUAACGAAAGUCAGGUUGAUGAUUCAUGCAUCUGCACUGCAGAUCUGCAUUAUAUUUUUGUUAUCCAAGGAAGGUAUGAAGGGAUUAAUUAGAGGAUUUGCUGCAGAGAGAGAAAAGUAAAAAGAAGAACAUAGUUUUACUUUCUGUAAUCAACUAUUUUUAAGAAUAUUUUUUAUAUAUAGCCUUUUAAGGUAUUAACCUGAUAUAAUCUAAGACCCAACUAUUUGGCCAGGUCAAUUACCCUUGUUUAAUAACUAUGGCUACCACUAACCAAGAGAUUAGUAAAAUAAAUAAAAUAAUUAUGAGAGGCGUGAAUUAAAAACAACAUUAAUUUUUAUCAUAAUCUUUUUCUCUCUCGAAGACGGGAAAAUCCAUAUGAUUCGGGAGAGUUUGUUUUUGUGGCAGCUUUUAAGACAAAACACAAAAACAAGGUAUGUGAUUACAUUUGAAAUGCAAGUUUGUGCUUGUGAGACCCAUUACAUUUGAAACACAAGCUAUUCAAUCACAUGCUAACAAAAAAUAAUAUCAACAUGCUUAAAAUAAACUAUGUGUAUAAAUACCAAUAAAAAAAUUUGUUGGUAAAACUAUUAAAACUGAUAAUAAAACUACUUACUUUCAAGCUAUAGACUCAAAGUAUUUUAUUUAUGCAAGGAUAAAUCUAACAUUUUUAUAUAUAUUUUAUUUUAAGAUGUAACAUGUCUAAAAUCAAAUAUUAUAUGAUUUAUAGCUUCAAAAUCAAUUAUUCAUUGUAUAAUUAUUAAAAUUUAAACCUUUAGGGAAUUGCUAGAAUAAAAUCUAAUUAGGGAAUUGCUAGAAUAAAAAUCUAUUCAAGUAUUAGUCAGGAUCAAGAUGUGAUAUGUCUAAAAUCAAAUCAAAAUCAAUUAUUCAUUGUAUAAUUAUUAAAACCUUGAACCUUUCAUCUUAUAAUAAAAUACAAAGAAUUUAUAAUUAUAGCUUACAAAAUAAGACGUGAAUCAAUCACAAUCAUAAUAUCAUCAUAAAUGAAAAUUUACUCCUGUUUCUCUGGUGCUUGACACUGUUGAAAUUUCCAAAUCAUCUUUGUUUUCCCUUUCCAAAUAAUUGUCGGAAAGUCCAACGUUCACACGCUAUCUUGCUUAAGGGGCUGAAUAGUACUGUAGAUGGGUCCAUGGGGAUGGAAAAAUUGUAACUUGAUGGGCUCUCGCUGGGAGGAUAGUCGGCGGAUAUCAAGUAUAAAUAUCAACAGAAAAAUCUCUCGGAAAAACUUUUAAAUAUAGUCAUAAAACUCUUUGCUUUUCAGCUAUAGACUCAAAAUAUUUUAUUUAUGGAAGGAUAAAUCUAACAUUUUUAUAUGUAUUUUAUUUUAUCUUAUAUAUACCUCCAAUACCAUUUAAGAGGGUGGGUCUUGCUGCCAGCUUCUUACGUACGGUUGAUUAUUUUGCCUACUGAAGUUGUUAUAAUUUUUUCAAUGUGAUAGCGAGUGUUUGUUCAUGAUUUCUGCAAUGGAACUUAUCGUGCAAAUUGGGGUUGGAUUUUCUAAUGAAAUGAUGGAUACAACAUGAAGUUGGGAAUUCAUUGAUUAGUUGCGGUCUUCCUACGGUUGAUUAAUUUCUCAUACCUUCUCUCUAACUAUCAAUAUCAUGGGCUAAAACGCGUUGAUUUCUACUCUUAUGAAUUGUGCCAUGUACAAAAAUUACUAUUAUGCUUAAGAAAUUAUUCUCUUAAAACUUGUGUCAUUCUAUGUAUUAUGGUUAGGUAUCAAUCAUCUAUGCGUUUAACCAAUAAAAAAAAUAAGUUAACGUGACAAAUGACAAAAAAUUAUAUGUUUAUUAAUUGAUAAAUCAUUAUAAAAAGAGAGAGUAAAAACACAUAUAUAAAAAUAAAAAAGAAAACAAAUGAGCAAACAUCACCACUAAUUAUGUUGGUUUCAGAUUGCCUUGAUUGCUUUUGUUUUUUAUAGUGAAUUUGUUAAACUCGUAACUCUUCCUGCAUUUAACAAGCUUUAUUUUGCUUAUAAGAAAAAAAUAUUUGAUUUUUUAAAUAAAAAAAAAUACCAUAAAAAAAAUAUUUUUCUAAACUAAAUAGAAAUAAAAACAAUUAAGAAAACAAAGAAUUUGCCAUAAAAUCCUUUUGCAUCACCAUGCAUAUAUGCUCUCAUCUAAUGGAAUUGUUUCUAAUUAGUGUUUUUUUUAUAAAAAAAAAAAACCAUUGAAAUGGUCUACUAUCGAAACAUUGGUUAUGAAAUUUCAAAUUCAUCAAUAAUUUAUUCUCCCUUUCCAAAUCAUAGGAUGCAAUAAUAUUGUGGGCUCUCCCCCUAGUGUGUGCAAGUCCUAUAGAUAUUCACAAUGUUGACUCCCUUUUGUUCCGGGAAUUCCUGAACAAGUGUUAAAUUCAAUGACAAAUUAUACCAUUACAGUUUUUCCAUGAGACUUGUAACACAAACUUUUUCCAUGAGAUAGUUUAAACUCAACCUAAGUAUAUAAGAAAAAGUUAUAAGAGAAUUGUUUUUCCUUCUUUUAAUUCUUGUGGCUGUCGUGACCCUCCCCUCAUCAAACCAAGGAUUUCAUUUUUUAAUCUUGAGUUUUUGGGUGAUAGUUGACCGUUUGACCAAGUCAGUUUAUUUCUUACCAAUUGUCGCAUGUGUGAGGUUUCGCAAUGAGCGUCUUCUCGGAUGAUAUUGGGAAAUGAGAGAGACAAGGAUUUCUUGUCUUUUAUCAGUGGAAAGAGGGAAUGAGAAUCGCCACCUAUUAUUCUGGUCACUAAGAACCCUAACUAGUCUCAAAGAUCGGGCACGAGGACUGAUUGCGUAAAGGAAAUGUAUUAGCACCCUUAAUACGCCUUGCUUAAGGUAAGCUACAUUGUUUAAUUGUUUGAUAUAAAUUAAGAUAUUGUUGUGUUUUCUAAUUGUUGGUCUGUCUAAGGUUUAAGAAAAUUCAUUCUCAGUAAAGAGAUUCUUAUCUUAUCAAGUAAAACCUAAUCAUUAUAACAUUAACAAAAAAGAACUACCUUUUAUUUAAUAUUAGGAAUACGUCUUAUGUAUAAGUUUGUAAUCUCAGUUAUUAAAAGAAAACAAAAUAUUUUUUUUGGUAUUUUUGAAAUAUAGGCCUAGUUCUUAUAAUUUUAAUAAACUGAUUAUUAAAGCCCAAAAUGCAUGCUAAUACAUAAUUUUUUUUUGUAUGAAAAUACAAUAUGAAUUUUUUAUAUUUUUGAGAGACUUGGUUGUAUGCAUGAAAACAAGAUAUUUUUUGUUAUUUUUUUAUUUAAUUUUUUUUGUAUUAUUUCAGAGAAAACCAUGUAUUUUAAUACUGGAUUUGUAUCUUUACAGUAUAAAAAUACAAACUAAUAUUAAGAAAAAAUGAUAAAAAAAAAUAUACAAGAAAAUCAAAAAAAAAUUGAAAGGAUUUUUGAAUUUUUUUGUUUUUGUUUAAUAUAUAAUAUUUAUUAUAUAUUAUUAUUAUUAUUAUAUUAUAUAAUAUUAUAUUGGAUUGGGCCCAACCCAAUUAUAUGGUCUAAGCCCCUCCUGUUUGGGUCAAUGUCGGCCCAAAACAGGGGUUUUGCCGAUGUCGGCCUAAUAUAUAAUAUUUUCUUUUUAUUAGACUGGAGCGUCCCAGCCCAACCUUGUGGUUUGGGCCGGCACUGGUUUGGCUUAGUCAAUAGUGGAAAAGCUCUCCAUUGUUCAUGCAGAAUAAUGGAGAAGGAAGAGAUGCAAGAGAAGAAGAAGAAGAAGAAGAAGAAGAAAAGGAAGAAGAAGAAAGGGGAAGGUUGAGCUAGCAGUGACUUAACGGUGGUGCUAGUGGCAGAAUGACGGUGGUUUCAAAUGGCUACGGGGAGAAAAAUGAUGGUCUGCAGUGGCGACUGUUGCAGGAAGGGCAAUCUUCUCUGUUUUUUUUUGUUCUUUUGUUUUUUUCUCUGUCUUUUAUCUGUUUUCUUUAUCCCCGGUAUAGUUUUUUUUUCUUGUUCUUGUCAUUGUUUUUUUUGUCCUUCCUCUUCUUCUUUCCCUCUUUAUUUUUCCUUGUUUUUUCUUUCUUUCUUUUUUCGCUUCUAUUUUGUUUUUUCCUUUGCCCCUCUGUUUUUCCUUUCUUUUCUUUUUUUGUUCCACCAUCCUUUCAUCUCCCUCCUCACAGCUUGGUGAGGGGGUAUUUAUAAAGGGGAAAGGAAGAGAGCCACCCUACUUUUGUCCAGUCGCGCUGAAUGGGUAGGGUGGUUGGGCGGCCACUAGGCAGUCACCCAAGGCCGCCUGCAGGGCUUGUCCCCUCUGUGUUUUUGUCUGGUGGUAGGCCAUGGGUGUGGGUUGCGUCAGCUUUUUGGGUAUAUGGGAGAUAGAGUGAGAGAGACGCUGCAGGGGAGAAAAAUCCUUCUUCCCUUGCCUGCAGCCAUAGUUAUUAAACCCGGCCCAGGGGUUGACCUGACCAAGGGGCCGGGUCCCGGGUUUCAUGGGUCAACCCGGGUCAACUCGGGUCAACCCGGAUUAACCUGGAAAAAUUAAAAAAAAAUUAAAGUUUUAAUAUUUCAUAUGAAAAAAUCCAUGUAAAUAUAGAUUAUACAUAUUAUGAAGUUUAAAAAAAUAUUUUAAAAAGUUUUUUAUCCUACAUUAAAAAUAUAUUAUGUUAAGCUUUUAAGUUAAAGUAUUUAAACUAAAAAAGUUUUUUAUCCCACAUUGAAAAAACAUAACUUUUUUCUUGGAAACAUAGAGUAUAUAUACUAAUGAGUUUCAAAUCCCACAUUGAAAAGAUAAUAUAUUAUCCUUUUAAGUUGAAGUAUUUAAACCAUAAGGUUUUUUAUCCCACAUUGAAAAAACAUGGUUUUUUUCAUGGGAACAUAGAGUAUAUAUAUGAAAGGGUUUCAAAUCCCACAUUGAAAAGAUACCAUGUUAUCCUUUUAAGUUGAAGUAUUUAAACCAAAAGGUUUUUUAUCCCACAUUGAAAAAACAUGGUUUUUUUCAUGGGAACAUAUUGUAUAUAUAUGAAAGAGUUUCAAAUCCCACAUUGAAAAGAUACUAUGUUAUUCUUUUAAGUUGAAAUAUUUAAACCAAAAGGUUUUUUUAUCCCACAUUGAAAAAACAUGGUUUUUUCAUGGGAACAUAGUGUAUAUAUAUGAAAGGGCUUCAAAUCCCACAUUGAAAAGAUACUAUGUUAUCCUUUUAAGUUGAAAUAUUUAAACCAAAAGGUUUUUAUCCCACAUUGAAAAAACAUGGUUUUUUUCAUGGAAACAUAGAGUAUAUAUACUAAUGGGUUUCAAAUCCCACAUUUGAAAAAAAAAACCGGGUCUCGUCCGGGUUCGCCCGGGUCACCCGGGUUCCGGGUCGCCCGGGUUUGGUCGGGCUGUUGCCACAACCGGUCUUUUAUUAAACCCGGACCGGUCCAGCCACCGGGUCGACCGGGUCCCGGGUCGACCCGCCGGGCCGGGCCGGGUUUAAUAAUUGUGCCUGCAGCGUGUUCAUAGGAAGAAGAAGACAUAUAGUGUCGUUCAAAAUGACACUGUUUUGAGCUUUGUCUUUUUUUUUUUGAAUAACAGUAAACCAAACGAUGUGGUUUUAAACAAAACAUGUUAUUUCAUUUAAAAGAAAAUAUUGCCAAAAAGUUUUUAUUUCCAAAUCAGUCCUCAAUUUAUGAUUUAUUCAAUCAAGCCUUCAAUUGAGAUUUUGGUUUUAAGAAUCAAUUCAAUUGCAUCCCUGCCAAAUUCAAAUGUCAGCCCUAAAGUUGACCAUUUUUUUCACUUUGGUCCUUGAUUUUGAAUUUGUUCAUUUUGACCCUCAAUUGAUCAACAAACUUCUAAUUUCUUCAAUUUAGCCCCUGAUUCGGUCAAUUCCAGCCCUUAUAUUAGCGCCCCUUUUUCAGUUUAGUUCUUGGUUUUGGAUUUUUUUAAUCAAGUCCCUAAUUGCCCAUCAAACUUUAAUAUUUAUGCAAUUAAGCCCCUAAUUUGACCAAAUUAACAGUUAAAAAUUAUAAUUUGAUCCCUCCUAAACUUUAAUUUCUUUUAAUUAAAGCUCAAAUUGACUUAAAAAAUCAAUCUUCUUGUAAUUAAACCCUCCAUAAAUUCAAUUAAACCUUUAAUAAAAUCUAAUUGAGCCCUUAAACAUCCAAUUUUGAAUUUAUCUUUGUUAAAUUGAAUUUUCUUUACCAACAGGGCUUUUAUUAGUCGAAAAUAUAUUGUUAAAUUCCAAUCUUUGUAUUUUUUAACCUUCUCAACCAAACUUUGGCCAUUUUCAAGGCUCCUUGAUGUCCUUUUCUCACUAAUAUAUAUUUUUUGGUUUUUCUUCUGAUAAUUCUUGAUUUUUUUUUAUUUUCUUCUUUUUGUAUGGGGAUCCCAAAAAUGGGUAACAACACUAGUAAAGGUGACAUAUGGGUUUGCAAAACUAGUAGAAAUCUAUGUCAACGAGAUUAUAAGGUUGCACGAUGUGUCGAUCUCAAUUGUGUCCAACAAAGGUCCACAGUUCACUUUUCAAUUUUGGGUGAAGUUUCAGGAAGUUUUGGGGACUAACGUUCAGUUAAGUACUACUUUUCAUUCUCAGACCAAUAGAUAGUCUGAAAGGACUAUAUAGAUUUUGAAAGAUAUGUGAGAGCUUGUGUGAUUGACUUUGGAGUAGGAUGGAGCAAUUACUUGUCUUUGGUGGAGUUUGCUUAUAACAAUAGUUAUCAGGCAAGUAUUGAUAUGGCACUAUAUGAGACUUUGUAUAGCCGAAUGUGUAGAUCACCUGUAUGUUGGUAUGAGGUUGGUGAGAGGGGAUUAAUGGGCCCCGACUUAAUACAGAUUACUUUGGAUAAGAUUAAGGUGAUUCGAGAUAAACUUCAAACAGCUCAGAGUAGGCAAAAGAUUUAUGCGUAUAAGAGGAGGCGUAAUCUAGAAGUUUUAGUGGGUCACAAUGUGUUCCUGAAGUUCUCCCCGAUUAAAGGAAUAUUCAUAUUUAAUAAGAAAGGAAAAUUGAGUCCCAAGUUUAUAUGGUCAUUAGAGAUCUUGGAAAUAGUAGGGGCAAUGGCAUAUUGGUUUGCCUUGCCGCCUAAUCUAUCCUCCAUACAUCUAGUGUUCCAUGUUUUGAUGUUAAGAAAGUAUUUGUUUGAUUCAUCUCAUAUGCUGGAAAUUCAAUCGGUUGAGCUAAGGGAUGAUAUGUUGUACAAAGUCCAACCAAAGGAAAUAGUGGUUUGACAAGUUAAAAACUUUGAUUGAAGGAAAUCACAUCGGUUAAGGUUGUGUGGAGCGAACUCCCACGCAAAGAAGCGACAUAGAAGAAAUGCUUAACAAGUAUUCCAUACUUGUUUGAACUUGAUGGUUGACUUUGGUUCUUAAAGUUUAAAUUCGAGGAUGAAUUUUAUAUAACGGGGGAAGUGCUGUAAGACCCAAACUUUUAGCUCAAACCUAAGCCCAAGUCAGUGUAAACCCAACAUAAGUUAACCUAGGUAUAUAAGAAAAAGUUGCAAGAGAAUUAUUUCUCUCUUCUAAUUCUUGUGGUUGUCGUGAUCCUCCCCUCAUCAAAUUAAGAAUUUCAGUUUUUGAUCUUGAGUUUUUGAGUUCAAGAAAGGUGAAAGUAUCAAGUAAGUGGUUUCCUCUCAUGUUACUUUUGAUUAUGGUUUGUUUAUGGAAGGAUAAAAAAGAGAUUAGGGUUUAUAAAGUCUUGAAGUUUAUGUUGUUAAGAUUGAUUCAUGAUUAUUAUAGGUUUAAGGUUAAGUGAUUGAUUCUAGAUGUGUUGUUAGAAAUAAAGAUUUGUGAAUUGAUUUGUUAUGGGUUAAGAAAUUUGUUUCAACUUUGCUGGAAAAUCUAGAUAGAAUGGCUUGGGGUUGAAGAUGAUGAAAUUUUAUCUUGGUCCUUAAUUUAUAAAAAUUACAGUUUAGUCCCUUAACUUUGAAAAUUUAUAAUUUGACCCCGAAACAUGUUCUGGAAUUCUGGUUAGUAUUCUUAUGAGAUUAAAGAUGAUGAAUCUCAGUUUGAUAAUUGAUUUGUGUAAUUUUUAGUUUAGCCACUCUAUUUUGGAGAUUUACAGUUUAGUCCCUAAAUUUUUGAAAAAAAUAUAAUUUGGUCCCUAAAAUGUAAAUCGAGAUCCUGGAUAUAAUUAAGGAUGGAUUAUGGGUGAAAUUUUACUAUGGUUAUGUAUUUUUGGCUUUUACAGUUUGGUCAUCCAAUUCUAGAAAAAUUAUGUUUUAAUCCUUGAUUUCUAAAAAUUGUUGUUUUGGUCCCUGAUUUAUAAAAAUUGUUGUUUAUCCCUAAACUUAGGAGACUAAACCUGGUUUUCUUUUAUGAAUUGGAGUCUUUUAUUUGUGUUGUUUUAAGUUGUUUUUUUAGUAUAUUCUAUAUAUUUGUUGUAGGUAUUUCUAACGAUUCUCAAUAGGAUUUUCAGGUCUUUCAUCUAAUAUUCCUUUUACUUAUAUAUUUUUUGGGUGAGUUGGAUAAUAUUUAAUAUACAUGUAAUAUAAAUAAAUAUGUAUGUUGAUUAUAUGAUGAUUACAACUAGUUAAUUUCUUGAAUAUUUAUAUUUGUUGUUUUAUUUUCUUAGUACUUAUCUAUUCUUGAAUUUGCAUUCGCAUUCUAUUGAACUAAAUUCUAUGAUAUACAUUGCUUUGAUAAUUAUGUGAAUAUCUAUUAUGCCUUGAUAUAGAAAUUGUAAGUAACUUCAUGCUAACAUGACUAAUUUGUAGACUUCCUUGUUAAUUUUUGGGUAUCAUCUAGUGACCUUCAACUAUUAUCUGAUUUUUAAUAUGUAUUUCAUUACUUUAUAAUAAUAUACUUAGUCUACUAAAAAAACAAAUUUUCAAUUCUUCUUUCUCCUUUCCAAAUUCAUAGUUUGAAAGUGGUAUAUUCACACGCUAUCUUGCUCACGAUGCUGAAUAGUGUAACGUUAUGGGCUCUCACUAUGUAUUGGAAUCUUUUUCAUAAUUUCUUCUCCCUUUCCAAAUCAUUGCAUGCGACAAAUAUUGUGGGCUCGCCUGACUAAUUUGUGGACUUCCUUGUUCUUAAACAUAAUUUAUUAUGUUGAAGGAUGUUUUUCAUAUUGAAUUAUUGUAAUGACCUAUCUUUGUUUGUAAUUAAAGACAUAAAGACUCCAACUGUUAAUUUUGGCUAUAGGUGCAAUUUUCUCUAUGCAAUCAAUACUAUGGUUUAUAUAUAUAUCACAUCUAGCUGGUUUCUUUUUGUACAUUGUUAGUAAUAGAUAUGAAUGAUAAUUAAUUUACAAAUAAUGAAUUUAAUAUUAACAAAUGAUGAUGAGAUACUUAAUGACACAUAAAAUAUUUAACCUUAGUUUAUGUUCAUAUGUGAGAUUAAAGAAUACUACUAGGCCAAAAAUUAUCACACAAAAUCCUAAGUUUCAUUUUCUUGUUGGAAUUUCAUCUCUUGGUUCAUAGCUACUUUCCACCUCGAGUCAACAAAGCUUCUUGAAUAUUAUUUGGAAUAAAUAUAAAAAUAAUUAAUUUACAAAUAAUAAAUUUAAUAUUAAAAAAAUAAUGGUUAUACAGCUAAUUAAUAUAACUCAUAUAUAUGAUAUUUGACUUCAUUAGCCAAAAAUUAUCACAAAAGAUAAAUAAUCUAAUUAGGGAAUUGCUAGAAUAAAAUCUAUUCAAGUAUUAGUCAGGAUCAAGAAACUAAAAUUAAGAUGUGAUAUGUCUAAAAUCAAAUCAAAAUCAAUUACCCAUUGUAUAAUUAUUAAAACCUUGAACCUUUCAUCUUAUAAUAAAAUACAAAGAAUUUAUAAUUAUAGCUUACAAAAUAAGAUGUGCAUCAAUCACAAUCAUAAUAUCAUCAUAAAUGAAAAUUAACUCCUGUUUCUCUGGUGCUUGACACUGUUGAAAUUUCCAAAUCAUCUUUGUUUCCCCUUUCCAAAUUAUUGUCGGCAAGUCCAGCGUUCACACGCUAUCUUGCUUAAGGGGCGGAAUAGUGUAGACGGGUCAAUGGGGAUGGAAAAAUUGUAACUUGAUGGGCUCUCACCGGAAGGAUAGUCGGCGGAUAUCAAGUAUAAAUAUCAACAGAAAAUUGUAUUGGAAAAACUUUUACAUCUAGGACAGUAGUUAAAGAUUAUUUUUAAAUUUUUUUGUAUUUAUUUGUUAUUAAAAAAAUUAUUCAAUGAAAAACAAAAACACUUUCCAAUCAAUAAAAAAUUUGAUUUGAUUUUCAAGAAAGUAUUUUCCUUUUAUUUUAAAUAAAAAAACAUUUUUAAAAAAUUAUAAAAAAUUUAAAAAUAUUAUAUUAUUUAAAAUUUUCAAAUCAUGUUUGUUUUACUUUCCUAAUUAUUGUGGAAAGUCCAACGUUCACAUGCUAUCUUGCUUAAGGGGCUGAAUAGUACUGUAGAUGGGUCCAUGGGAAUGGAAAAAUUGUAACGCUAUGGGUUUGUGGGUAAUAUUUGGUAUUGUAUUUUAGAAAUGUUUUUUAAAAAAAUUGCAAACUCCUUCCUCUUUUAUCCUCAAAUUCGGCUAGAACAUUAACAAUCAAUGGCAUGAUCUAUCAUACGCUCCAAAAUGUCGGAAUGUAUAAUACACUCAUUAUUCAUUACUGCAUUAAUGGAGGAAAUUCUGAGUUUCCAUGCAUGAGUCAGUCCAGCAAUGGUCGAAUUUCAUGGCAAUGCUAAGAAUAACAGUAGCUGUCUAGCUAGGAAGAUUGCGAGUAACAUUGUUAUUUGGUAACCAAGAAAAAAAUUAUUAUCAUAUAUGUCGCACCCGACAUCGCGGCGGCCCACAAAAUAAAUUCUUGAAUAUGGAAAAAGAACAGAUUUCUGGCAUCUUGUUCUUUUAGGGAAAAAGGUCUUGUUUAAGGAGUCGCCACCUAGUAUUAUGGUCACUAGGAACCCUAACUGGUCAACAGAGAUUCUAUGGUACGAAACUGGUUACGUAAAAGGAAAAAUAUUAUCACCCCUUAAACAUUCUGCCUGAGGCAGACUACAUUGAUGGUUUUGUCUUAAAUUACUAAAUGUUUAUUAGUUUACGCUAUGAUAAUUUGCUUAUAAUAUUCCUGAAUCUGGCGUCAGUGAAUAUUCAACUACGAAUAUCUGCAACUCUGAUGUUGGUAAAUAUUAUGUAGCUAUAAAAACAAUUAGAUCAAUAUUUUUUAUUCCCUACUCUAGCGCUAGUAAAUAAAUAAAUAAAAAUAAAUUUAUUUUUAAGCAUGCACAUGUUUUUUUUUGUUUUUUUAGCUAAAUAAAAUAAAAUACAACGAAUAAAAAUAAUAUAAAUUUAAACCGGUAUUUUUAUUCCUGACUCUGGCGUCAGUGAAUAGACCAAUAAAUUUACAUUAUUUUUAUUCAUUCAUACACAUUUUUUAUUUUUUUUAUUUUUUCUACUUUUUCUAUUUUUCUGUUUUUUUAUUUUUUUGGGGGCUGGGCCCAGCUCAGCCCACAUGGGCUGGGCUGGAUCCAGCCAGCCCGGCCCGGUCACUGGCCCAAGCCAGUGACCCGGCUGGGCAAACAACACGCGUGUCUAAGUGUUCAGUGAAUUAAAAUUCACAUGAACAGUAUAGCAUGAAUUAAAACUGAAAGGCGAGAAGAGAUGAAGAAAAACUUACUUGUGGUCUACCGCUCCUGAAGAUGAAGACGAAGUUGAGGGCGGUUGGUGCUCAUUAGGUUCAGCUAGCAUAGCAUUCACGAGGCCACCAGUGCUGGUGCCUGAAAUCACAUCAAACUAGUCUGCAAGUCUUGCGUCUGCACCAUCCAGCUUCUGGUGCAGCUGCGGGGUAAAGACGAAGACGAUGGUGACGACCGGUUAGCUCUGGCCGGACGAUGUCUUCUCCCUCCUCGUUUCCUGCCUGUCUCGAUGGUGUCUGGAGGCUGGUUGCUGAAGACUGUGAAGACGAUGGUCAAUGCCGGUUCUCGUCUCUGCGCUUUCGUCGGCUGGGUUGAGUUUGCGUCUCCUUUUCUCCUGGUUUUUAUAUUCUGUCACCUUCAGUUCUGAGAUGAAGGGACAAAGACGAUGGUGGGGCUGAUCCUCGUCUCUGUGUCGUUCCUCUGCUUUUUCUCUCCUUCCCGGUUUCUUUGUUCUUUUUUUUUUUUUUGUGUUAUUGGUCCCCUUUUCAGUCCAGUUCCUCCUGUGCUCCCUUCGUGUUCUAGGUUCUCUCCCCGUUUUUUCCCCCCGUUUAAGGUUUCUUGCACUGCUCGCUCUUCUGUUUUUUCUGUCUUCUUCCUUUUGUUCUCGUGUCUUUUUCUCUCCGUUCAGCCUUGACUCUGCCUUUUUCUUCCUCCUUUUCGUCCUCCCAGUUUUUCUUUUUUUCUCUGUAGCCUUCUCUUGCUUAUAAAGCCAGAGAAUGGCCUUUCUUCACGCGUUCGUGCCUCACGAUCGUGAGGCACGAACGCCUCUGUUUCUUAGAGAAGAAACAGGGGCAGAAAACUUGCUCCCCUCUGUACAGUUUCUGUUCUUGCGUCUUGUUGUGUUCCCGGUGUUACUUCCUCUCUGUAAGCAGGGAAACGGAGACGUGAUGGAGGACUGGUGGGCUAGUUGCUUUCUUCCUCCGCUGCUCGUGGCCUCUCUCCGUGGCCUCCUCUGUUUCUUUGAGAAGAAACAGAGGAACGAAAGUUUUUUUCUAUUCUUCCCCCGGUUCUGUGUUUCUCUAGUGGCUUUUCGGUUAUGUCAUUUUCCCCCCCCUUUGCCGGUUCUCCUUCUCUGGUUUUUAUAACCAGAGAAUGCCAUGCGGUUGCAACUUCUGUGUUUCUCUAGUGGCUUUUCGGUUAUGUCAUUUUUCCCCCCCUUUGCCGGUUCUCCUUCUCUGGUUUUUAUAACCAGAGAAUGCCAUGCGGUUGCAUGGAUUUUAAUGCAAUAAAGGCAUGCGUUUUCUUCUUGUUUUCCGGUGAAGAUGAUGAAUAGUGUUCUUUCAAACGACGCCGUUUUGGUAUGUGAGGUGGCCAUUUGCGUUUUGGCCCAUGAAGUUCCGAAAAGUUUAUAAUUAAGCCCCUAGUUUAAACUGUAAUUGCCCCUGCAUUUCGGUGUCUUUUACAAGUUAGUCCUUGGACUUUAAUCUGCUGCAAUUGUGCCCCCAAUUAACCCCAAACUUUUCUUUUUCUUCAAUUAAGUCCCUGAUUUCAUUAAUUUAAUUAAUUCCAAGCUCAAUUAAGUCUCAAAACUUAUCAAUUCUCCAAUUAAACCCUUGAUUGGAUGAAUUAAGUCUCAAAACUUAUCAAAUAUUCAAUCAAACCUUUAACUUGAUUAAUUAAAUUAAUUCCAAGUUUAAUUAAAUUAAUUCCAAGUUUAAUUAUAUUAAUUCUAAAGUUUAAUUAUAUUAAUUCUAAAGUUUAAUUAAACCCCAACCCAAAUUUUAAUUCAUUCUUUAUUUUUUUCAUUUUUUUCAUUUUUUUAUCCUUUUCAGUAAAUAAAAUAAUAAUAAUAAUAAUUAAAAUAAAAUGGUUAAAAAUUGAAUUAUGACAAUAUAUAUCAAAAAUAUAUAUCAAAGCACAUGAUCAACUUACUGGAACUGAUGGGGAGAUCAUAAUGAAUUGUAGAAAGGACUAUGGGUUUUAAUCUUGCUCUUUCUACAUUCUCUUUCUACAUUCAAAACCGAAACAAGGAGCACAGUUUUGUCAAGUUUGAAAAUAUAGCAUGAUCAUUUCUUAAUUAAUUGUUGUUUCACUUAUCUUUCAUAACAGGCAUUUUUGACAUACUUUAAAAAAAAAAAAAAAAAGCCAACCCAUGAACAUAGUCUACAUCAAAUUACAAAAUUUAUUGCUCAAAUCUAUAGUUGAAGAGAAGAAGUUAAACCCCUCAAAAAACUGGUCAGUCGACCACACUAACUGUAUGUGAGAACAGAUCUUCCAAACUGAGUGUGUCAAAUUCCUUUGGCAGAGAAGGCCACUUAGUUGCAAGCUCCGAAGAAAUUCUUCCCAUUGUAGGUCGGGAUUGCGGAUUGGGAUGCAAGCAUGCAAGUGCUAUCUUCAUGAUAUGGACAACACCCUCUGCUGCUCCUUUUUUAGGAAGUGAGAUGCGUUGGUCAAGCACAUCCUUCAACAAUGUCUGUUGAGAAAUCGGUGGCUUCGAAGAUGAUGAGGAAGAUGCUUGUGAUGAGAUUGUGGAGAUGAGAUCGCCUGGGUGCCUUCCCAUCAUCACUUCCAUUGUUACCACUCCGAAGCUAUAGACAUCACAUUUUUCAGUCACUUUCAUCGUGUAAGCUAGCUCUGCCAAAAAAAAAAAAUGGUUAUGCUGUGUUUUUAUCACAUAGUUGAUAGAAAUAAAAUUGAAAAAAAAUUACUUAUGUAUUUAUACUAUAAGCUAAAAACAUACUAUUAUUCUUACUAUAUAUUGUAGGAACUUAAUGUUGAAGUAAAGCUACGCACCUGGAGCAGUAUAUCCAAAAGUACCUGCAAAUGAGGUCCAAUUGGAUGAGUCAGGCAUCAACAGUCUAGCUGUGCCGAAGUCAGAGACAUGUGCCUCAUAUUCCAAAUCAAGAAGGAUAUUAUUGCUGGUAAUGUCUCGAUGAAUGAUCGGAGGAGAGCAAGAAUGGUGUAGAUAGGAUAAAGCUCCAGCCAUCCCUUUCACAACAUUUAGCCUUUUCAUCCAAUCCAGCUCAAUUGCUUGUUCCUCACUGGUUAUAAUCUUUCUCAAGCUUCCUCUUUCUAUAAGCUCAUAAACCAAAAAAGAGUGCUUUGCAUGUGAGCAAAAUCCAUACAGCUUCACGAUAUUUCGAUGUCGAAUAUUUGCCAACACACGAACUUCCGUUUCAAAAGCUUUAAAAUUGGACAACUUGUCUGUUUGUGACUGGUGAAGUUUCUUCACAGCAACCACCCGUUCUGGUGGCAUCACUGCUUUAUAAACAAUUCCAUAUCCUCCUUCGCCAAUGCAGUAGUUGGAAUUGAAUUCCUCGGUAGCUGCAAUGAUAUUCUCAUACAACAACUUCCCAUCAUGGCCCAAUACCGUGAAUAAGUUUCGAUCUUGUUCAAUAUUCCCUGGCUCAGCUUUUCUCUUCCUAGCUCUUUGGUGGAGAAUGAAGAAAGCUCCAAUCAAAACAAACACUAAAAGUAAGCUUCCUAAAAGAGGAAGUACAAUUAAAAUAACAAGUUUAUUGCCCUUUCUCUUAAGAGUUCUGCUGCUUUUUGGAAGAUUACAUGGCUUUAGACCACUCGCGUUGCCACAAACACCCAUGUUGUCUCUGUAUGCCUCAAAUGGAGCAUUAAGGAAGGCUUUGAUAUCGGGAAUAGGGCCCUGUAGCUCAUUGUAUGAUAUAUCCACCGCUGUCAAGCUUAACAGUUGUUUGAAAGAGCUCGGAAUCAAUCCAGAAAGCACGUUGUGAGAGACAUUCAGAGUUUCCAACAUUUGCAGCUGCCCAAGUUGCCACGGUAUCUCUCGAGCAAGGAAAUUGCAGCUAAGAACAAGAUCUUGAAGAGAACGCAGAAAGCCUAUCUCCUGUGGAAUGCUUUUUGUAAAUUUAUUAUUACUGAGGUUCAGCAACAAUAAAUUUGAGCACUCCCCAAGUUGUUUUGGAAUCGAUCCACUUAGAUUGUUAGAUGCUAAAUCAAGGAUUUUGAGAGAAGAAAGCAUCUUGAUGUCUGAGGGAAUGGCACCCGAAAGAUGGUUGUUGCUAAGAGUAAGGCUGUACAACAGCUUCAGCCCCCCUAAUUCUUUUGGGAUGGUUCCUUCUAAGUGAUUUGAGGACAGAUCAAUCAAUUGUAAUUGAGUAGCCUUCCCGAGCUCUGCUGGUAUCUCCCCAGCAACAUUAUUGUUUGAGAUUUUCAAGCUCGUUAUGUUACAGUAAUCUUCCCAUUUCAAAGAAAGCUCACCAUAAAAAUUAUUGUAACUCAAAUCAACAUAAUCCAAAUGUGGAUAGAUGCCAAAAUCCUCAGAAAUAUUUCCUGUCAAUUGAUUCCCAUCAAGUCUUAGUCGGUGUAAACUGGUACAGUUUUUCAAGCUUUCCGGGAUGGAACCUGAGAAAUAGUUGUUGGCAGCGGUAAGAUUUUCCAAUACUCCUCCAUGGCAUACCUCUUGCGGCAAAUGACCCGUGAAUUCGUUUUCAGACACAUGCAAUUGCUUCAAAUGGGUGAGAUUGUUCAUCUCUAGGGGCAAUGGGCCAUGAAGUUUGUUAUUAGCCAAGCUCAUUGACACCAGAGAUUUAAGUUGUCCUAUUUCUGAAGGAAUGUGACCAGAGAGAUUGUUACCCCAAAGAAAGAGAAUGGAUAGUUUUUUCAAAUUUCCUAUAGAGGAAGGAAUCGAACCAGUGAGAUUAUUUACAGCUAAUGAGAGACGGGAAAGAGACGUCAACUUUCCAAUUUCAUGUGGAAUGGAGCCACUUAAAAGAUUUCUACAUAAAACUAAAUCAGUGAUACUUUUCAGGGAGCCUAUCUCAGAUGGGAUACUUCCCGUGAGAUCAUUAUAACAUAAGCCCAACUGAGUAAUCUGGGAUAGAUUACCGAUAUGUGAUGGAAUGGUUCCAUGAAUAGAAUUGUUCGAAAGGUCAAGAAUGGAAAGAUUGGGGAAGGAUGAGAAGUUGAAAUCAUAAAGCGUACCUCUCAAACCAAAGUUCGGGAAGGUCAGAUUGGCGACACUUCCAGAACCGUCGCAAGUGAUUCCAAUCCAAUUAAUGCAAGGGCUGGUGCCGACCCAAGAAGAAAGGAGAGACUGGCUUUGGUUGUCAAGACUUGCUUUCCAUUUGAGAAGAGCCUCAGUUUCUUUAAUAUUACCUCCAGCAACUUUGGAAUUGGCAGCACUAGUAGCCGUACCAAAUAUCGAAGUUUUAGAGGAAGUGUGAUCAGCAAGAACAAAGAAAGAAGAGGAGUAGAACAUGUGAAGGAGCAAGAAGAUCAGGACGUGGAGAAAGAUAGAGAAGAAUGGUUUGUGCAGUAAGGACGUCAUGGUGUGUUUUCAAGAGAUGCAGAAUAUUAAUGGUUUGCUAUGGUAGAUGGAGAUCCUAGGCUACAUGCAGUGGUAUUUAUAGGAUAAGGAUUGGAGUCUUUCUUAAUUUCAUCGAAUAUUAAAAUCUGAAAUUUCCAGCUCAUCAAUAAUUUCUUCAAUUAAAAAUGUCACAUUUCUGUCCACGCCUUGUUAACGAUCAGCACCUCGUCAUUUCCUUCUCUCGAAACACGAGAGAAGGAAACCUGAUUUUGAAGUCCUUUCUACAGCAUCCAAGACUUAUUAUAGGUUAAAGAAUAAUAUAAAAUUAUUUAUUAAGUUUUAUGUGAUAAUUUAUAUUGAGAUAAUUUUUUGAUAUAAUAUUAGAAAUUUAAUGAUUAAAUGGUGAAGAAUCCAAAUCUUUUUUUCUCUAAUUAUGUAGUGAUGAUACUGUGUAACCGGUCUUUUGAGUUGAGAUAUUAGAAAAAUUAGAAUAAAUAAUUACUCCAAUUAACCCAAAUUUUCUCAGCAAACAUUUAAAGAUUAGGAAUAUCAUUCUUUCCGUUUUAUGUUUACUUAAAUUUUCUUACUUUAAUUUCACUGUUUGACCUCUGAAUAUAAAUUAAAUCUUAGGCAAAAUUGGUUUUAUACUUUCGUUUUGCAAGGAAAAUAUCUUAUUGGAAGCUUACCGAGGGCAGCCAACCACCAUACAAAAGCUUCAACGUUCGCUGGGCUAGAGACUUCCAAACACAUGAAUCUAUUGACUGUCUGUUUCCUUGUAAAAUUACUGCGUCCAAUAACUUCCUACAAGACUGAACUGUAUACAUCUCUGUGCUGUGAUGAAUCCAAACUUAUCUAUCUUGCAGCUUCGGAUUCAACUGAAAACUCUCCCAAGACCUUAAUUAGCUGUCUCCUUCAAUUAAACUUCCAAGCCCAAACUGAAUCUUGCCAGCAACCUGAAUCUUGCCAGCAUACACUUUUGAUCACAUGCAAGCGUAAACAGUCCUGGGAAGACUGUCCUCAAUGCACAUUCAAGUCUUAUUUGGUGAUGUUUUCUACCGAGUCAUCUGUGUGACAGACAUUCUAUAUAUGCUUCCAAGUUGUUGUCAAAUACACUAUAAGUCCAUGCUCAAGGAGCCAGUCAUCCUUACUUAUAUAUAUAUAAAAACGAAGCAAAGGGUUCAAAUUGGCAUAGUGAUCGACUGAAAUUACCUUCAUUAAGCUUAAAAAUCAAGGAGUUUUUGGCUCAUAAAAAAUAAUAUGGUUUUUAAUAAGGUGCAGCCGGAUUGAAAUUUGAGUUUCUCUUCGAUCUUGCAUAGAUUAUGAGUUUGGAUAGUGUGUAGCAACUACACUAUAAAUAACCUAAUCUGUAAUGCAUUUAAUUUCAACUAUACUAAUAAUGACUUUAUCUAUAGUGCAUCUAAUUUCAACUUAUUAAUUCAGUUAUUCUUUUUAAUUAUGUUUCUUUCUAUUUCCUUUUAUAUCAUUUGUAAUGCAGACAUUUUAUUUUCUUGUAAAUGAUUAUUUAAAUUUUCAUAGGUCACCUUUUAAAGAUUAUAUUUUGAUUAAUACACUCGAUUAUUAUAUAUGUAUAAAAAAUAUAUAGCAUAAAAUCAGUAAAUUUCAAAUUUCAAAUUUUUAAUCCAAUCACCAUCAACUAAUUAUGAAUAUACAUUAUCAUUAAAAAAAUUCAAAGUUCUUUGAUUAUUUGAUUACCUAAUUGUUGACAUGUGGGUUCCUUGUUCAUGCAGCUGCAGACUCCUUCCUUUUUUAUCCUCAAAUUCGGCUAGAACGUUCACAAUCAAUGGCAUGAUGUAUCAUACUCUCCUUGAGUUUCUGCUACCCCUUUUGUUUUCCAAAAUGUCGGAAUGUAUACUACACUCAAUAAUCAUUACUGCAUUAAUGGGAAAUUCUGAGUUUCCAUGUAUUAGAUAGACGGAAUCACCGACAGAUUGAAAAAUUAUUGGUAAUUAUUAGUGAUUUCUGAAAACUUUUUAUAAAAUUAAAAAUUUAAAUUAAAUAUUACUGAUGGAAUUACCGAUGAAAUAAUUAAAAAAUAUUAAUAUUUAAUUAUCCGUCGGUAAAUCCGUCGCUAACGCAUCACAAUAAAAAGCCUGAAUCCCCUUAUUUAACAAGUGACUUAUUUCUUCUUCUACUUCUUUUUCUUCUUCUUCUUCUUCACUAUAUGUAAAAAAACAUCAAUAUCUAUUUCUUUCUCUUCUUUUCUCUCCUCAUCUUUUUUUUUCCCUCCAUGCUCGGGUAUGUCUUCUUCUUCUUUCUUCUUUUAUCCUCUUAUUUUUUUUAAUUAAUAUGCUUUACGAAAAAAAAUUCUCUCCUUAGCUUCACUUACAACUACAUUAAGGUAAGAUUUUUCUUUUUUCUUCUUUUUUCAUGAUUUUUUUCACUAUAUUUGUUUUUUAUUUUAUUUUUAAUUGUUUUUGUUCUUAAUAAUUGUAUAAAUGUUGUUGGGAGAUUUUAUUUUUUCAUAUGAGAUCAAUUUUUAGUUGAUUUAUUUAUAGGAUUUUUAAAUUUUUAGCAAUUGCAACUUCAUUUUUUUCAUAUGAAUUUUUUUAGUUGAAUUUAUUUUUUUGUUUUAUUUAUUUAUUGCAAAUUUAUUUGAGUUGAUUUUCUUAUUAUUUUUUCCAAGCAUUUUGAGUAUAUAUUAUAGUGUUGAUUUAUGUUGAUUUAAUUAUUUUAUAAUUUUAUAAAAUGAAUUUUUUUAAAAAUGUUUUUAAAUAUUUACCAACGGAAUUAAAUCAGUAAAUCCGUUGGUAAUAAAAUAAUAUUAUUACCGAGACGUUUGUUCCGUCAGUAAAUCCGUCGGUAAUAAUAUUUUUUUAUUACUAACGGAUUUACCGACGGAUAAAAAAUUACCGAUGAAAGAUUCACCGACGGAUCAUUUCCGUCGGUGAUUUCGUUGGUAAAUUAAUUACCGACGGAAUAUGUGUUUUACGCCAACGGAAAAAUUCCGUCGGUAAAACUGUUAAAUGUUGUAGUGAUGGCCGAGUUUCACGGCAAUGCUAAGAAUAACAGUAGCUAUCUAGCUAGGAAGAUUGCGACAUCAUUUUUCAUUGGCCAAUCAAUGGCAAGUCUGUGCAUUUCUGAUUUUUUCUUUUUCAUGUAUCUCCAUACAGGAACAAGUAUUGAUCAAAAGCAUUCUGAAACCUUUCCUAAUCUUUAGCUGAGAAAGAGGUUUGUCUUCUUUGAGCUUGUUGGCUAACCUAAUUCUCUGGAAGAAAUUGAGAAUCUUUCUUUCAAUUUGCGUUUUAUUUGUGACAUUGAUGAGAACGUCCUGUCUUGUUGAAUUAUUGACAAUUCUUGCAAUCUUAUAGGUCAAUGUAAUAUUAAUUUCUCUCAACUUUGAAAGCAAUGCUCUGGAGUUGUGUUGUUGGAACAAUCACAAGCGUUACAAAAAUAAACAGGUCAAUCACUUCUGGAAAUCUGAAGCAAGCAUUGAAAUUGAAAUUAGAAAGAAACAUGUUUAUUCUUGUUGAGCAUUGUUGUAGUUUUUGUGGUUGUCAUUAUAAAACAAUUAGUUUAAAAAUUAUAUUUUUAAUUAUAAUUUUUUUUAAAAUAUAUAUUUAGUUAAAAUUGAUGUGAAAUUAAUUUUUUCAUGCAAAAUAAAUGAAAAGUUGUCUUCAUGAGUGAAAAACAGGUUAUUCUAACUCCUAAAAAAAUCAAUAUGAACCUAAUAUAAAAAAUAAAAGUUAUUUAGCUAACUAAAUAUAUAUAUAUAUAUAUAUAUAUAUAUAUAUAUAUAUAUUUUGUGUUUGGAUAAAAAAGAAAAUUAUCACUGUACGGUCUCUAAACAGAGAUCGUAUUUGCUUUUCCUUUUGUUAUAAAAAAAAGCGACCAUUGCAAUGGCAGACAAUGUCACUAGGACAAGUGAGCAGAAUUUUAUGUUCCUUAACAUUAACCAGUAAAUUAGAGAGAGAGAUGAGUGAUAUUGUCUAAAAUUUUCGAUGUUUUCUGUGUUGUUACUGUACUUAUAGCUUCCGCUACUGUACUUGUAGCUUCCGCCUACAUUAUCUUUCCCUUGUUGGCUAACGUAAUUCUAUUGAAAAAGAUUGAAAUUCGUUAUGUUUUCAUGUAAUGUCAUGGGAAUCAAAUUGCGAGUGUUAUUUGCAAACUAUAUAUGGCAAUGCAGAAAAGGGUCUACUCAAAUCAUUCUAAAUUAUUAUUGCACCCUCAGAAAACAUACUUACCGCCGCACACACUUUUCAUAUACACAAAAUCUGUAACUUGCUGCAAAAUAAAGAAUAUAUGUGCUUAUUCUUUCUUUUAUCAUUACUUGCUGCAAAAACUGAAUUGAAGAAUUUCUGAAAUGGAUGAAGAUAAUGGAAUUUGAUUGCAAGAUUCAUUUGUAAAUAAGAAGGGAAUUGAAUUGGAGAAUAGAGCUUAAUUUAUCUGCUUUUAUGACUCAAAAUAUCAAUCAAAUUGAUCAGUGACUAACGCUAGUCAAACUAUGAAUACUACAAUUCUUUUCUGUUCUCUCCUUUUAUUUUCAGAUGUUCUCAAUCUCUAAUUCGUUGUGUUUGUGUUGGAACUGUAUCGAAAUGCGUGAUUAACCACCAUUUCCUGAGGUGUUAGUCUAUCCUUUUUGUCCAUUAAUACUACAAUUAAUGCAAACUCUUGUGUCUGACUACAAAAGCACACGCACCUUACUGCUAGUUGUGCACUAGUACUGCAAUUUCACUUAAAGUUUCUGAGCUUAAUACCUAUGGCUGCAAUUUCACCUUAUUGUAUUUUUCAGCAGCUGCUUCUAUUUUGACCCCUUCACAUGUCGCUUUGCUCCCUGACUACCUAUAUAUACUUACAGUGCCCUAAGAUUUAACAUAUUGUGUCUGAGAGUCAUUACUUCGCUUGCAUUUCCAUGAUUGCUUUGUCAAAGUAAGUUUAAUAUUUAAUUACUUGAGACUCUUUAAAGAAAACAAAUAUCCAAAAUCACUGGUAACACGCUAUCGUGCUCAAAGGGAUAAUGGAGGGUUACCAAACAUUCCACUCCACUGAAUAGAUAAUGGAGGACCAACGUUGUCAGAUUCAAGAAAUUGGGGAGACUAGGGAAACAAGUAAAACAAAAAAUGAUCCCUCGUAUCAGAAUUGAUAUUAAAAAAAUGGCACGGUUAUUGUGGCAUCUCAGUGGACGACGGCUGGGACUCCCGCGAAAUCAAGAGGAAAAAUAUAUAUAUCAUGGAAAAUUGAGUCUCCUCCUAUUAAUUAAAGAAAAUUAGAGCUUCUAAAAUAUAUAUUGAUUUAAGGGAUUAGUUAAGCAUAUAAAAAAAACGACAUUAUUUUUAUAUCAUCCUUUAUUACAUAAUGUUAUCUUUAUUAUUUAUUUUUUCCUCAAUUUAUCUUUUUAAUUGCCCUUAAUUAUCCUCAUUGUUUUUAGUUUAUAUUUUUUAUUUCUAAUUAUUUGGUGAAGAAUUUGAUGUUAGUCUUUAAAGACUUCAGAAAAUAACAUUAAUCCCUAAAAAUGAAAAACUCAUCAAAAACGUUGAUAUUAAAUCCUAAAAAAGAUUUUCAUCAAAAUUGCUAAAAAUAUACAUAAACCGUAUUUGAAUUUAAAUCUAGACAUAUAUCCCUUUUUAAAAAGAAUACUUAUAAAAAAUGAUAUUUUUCCUUAAAAUGAGAGAAGAAAACGAGACUCACGUAUGAGUUCCUAAAAAUAAACAUGUGUCCUAAAAAUCUAAGAAACCUAGGAAUACAGCUCUCAGGUUGGAUAAUCAAUUGGUUCUAGUAAUUUUAUCUAUUCUCCCUAGCUAAGGUAGUUGAUAGCUUAUACUUGGUACUUGGUAGGUCCCUGUAGGAUUUUUAUACGUCUAAAAGGUAUAGGGAGAUUAGGGUUCAAUACAUUAGAUGUAGUUGAGUUCAUAAAGAUUAAGUUCUUCCCAUAGGCUAGACCAAAUAGAGGAGGGUCACCCUCUUGGGCAUGCCAAGAAAGGAUGGUCAUUCCUUUGGGUGUGCCCAAGGAAGGAUUAUGCUCUCAUUCUUUCGGGCAUACCAAUGGAGGAUGCUCAUUCUCUUGAGCGUGCCCAAUAGAGAAUGGUCAUUCUUUUGGGAAUGUUAAAGGAGGAUAUGAUCAUUUUCUUAGGUUUGUCCAAGGAAAGGUGGUCAUUAUCUUAAGCAUGUCAAUGGAUAGUGAUCAUUCUCUUGGGUGUGCCUAGAGCUUAGCACACUGCCAAGCCUAGUGUGGUCGGGGUUUGGCACAUUACCAAACCCAGCAUCUUGGGGCUUGGCGCACUGCCUAACCCAAUCACCUCUGAGUCUUGCUAACGUCAGACCUAGCAUCCCGGGGCUUGGAACACUACCAAGCCCAAUGCAUCUUCACUAGGACAUGCUUGUUUUCCUGAAAAUUUAUACCCGUAAAUUUUUUUUAAUCCGGUAUUUUUUGAUAAAGAUAUAUUGUUAAAAACUUGGUUCAUCAACAUCAAAUUAAUGGUGGAUAAUGAAAAUAUAUAAUAUAAGCACAAUUUCAAGCAGUAGAACAUAUUCAUAAAUCACUAUCACUACUAAAUAUGAAGACAUGUCUCAUAUUUUAAUUUCUGUAUUGGCUGCAGGGUUUGCGAUGGAUCAGUACUUCUAGAUGACACAGACAACUACACUGGCGAGAAGACUGCGACUUCACAAUUUCAAUUCACUCAAAUCCGAAGGACUUAGAAUUUGGUUGAAAAAAUUAUAAUAGUUGUCAAUGAAGAUUGCAAAGGGAAUGUGGUCUCAUGUGCAGACAUUUUAGCUGUCGCAGCUCGGGACUCUGUCUCCAUUGUAAGUAGAGAAUAUUUACUUACAUUUUAGCUAUAGCAUGAUUCUACUUGGGGGGUCGUUUAUACAAGUGCUCGGUUUAUUUAGGCUGAAAUGAUUCAAGAACAGGAAGCAAAAAUGACGCAAACAUUAAUCUUCCUCCCCCAUUUUUCAACUUCUUGCAGCUAAUCCUAAU